rnacentral:lncRNA from 1 species
GCGUUUCCAUAUUAUUUGUGGGACUGCUAGGGGACUUCUCUACCUUCAUCAAGAUUCUAGAUUGAGGAUUAUACAUCGAGAUCUCAAAGCAAGCAAUGUGUUACUUGAUCAGGAUAUGAACCCAAAAAUUUCAGAUUUUGGCUUGGCUAGAACUUUUGGUGGAGAUGAGACAGAAGGAAAUACAAACAGAGUGGUUGGAACAUAGUAAGUAUUUCUUAUCAUGUGAUCUUUACAAUUCGCUUGCACUGAUUAAUGAAAUUUAACUUAUAUAUUCUAAUCCUCUGAAGUGGUUAUAUGGCACCGGAAUACGCUAGUGAUGGACAAUUCUCAAUAAAAUCCAAUGUUUCAGCUUUGGAAUUUUAUUGCUGGAGAUAGUAAGUGGAAAGAAAAAUAGAGGAUUUUAUCAUUCAGACACCAAGGUUAACCUUAUAGGACAUGUAAAUAAAAUGCAUACGACAUUUUCUAGCAUAGUUUAAACUAAUAAAUCAUAGAUGACAAAAGAGUGUUUGAUAUGUUGUGGGCAUGGAAGUUGUGGGACGAAGGCAUUCCUUUACGAUUGAUCGAUGCGUGUAUUCAAGACUCAUGCAACCUAGCUGACGUAAUACGAUGCAUCCACAUCGGUUUGUUAUGUGUGCAACAGCAUCCAGAGGACAGACCAUGCAUGCCUUCUGUGAUUUUGAUGUUGGGCAGUGAGAUUUUGUUGCCUCAGCCAAAGCAACCUGGUUACUUGGCGGACAGGAAAUCAACGGAACCAUAUUCUUCAUCAAGCAUGCCUGAAUCAUCCUCAACUAAUACAUUAACAAUCUCAGAGUUGGAGGCUCGAUAGAGAAUCUAUUAGUAAUAUGGCUUAUCUACAUUAUCUAAAACUUAAAGAACAUUAUCGGUAAUAUUUCAACCAUUUGGAAUAUCAGAUUUACUCAAACCGAGGUUCAGGUAAAUGAUUGAAUAAGAAAUGGUGAGGAUCCAACGAUAUAGUAUAUGUUGUGUUUCUAAAUAGAAAGUAUCCUAAUGUUUAUGUAGAAAUUGUAAAUAAGAGGAAUUGUGAGAACUGAGACAAAACAUACUAUUAUAUUUGAGAGAAUGAGGGAUAUACCUUUUUGUUUUUUCUCUUUAUACAAUGCAAUAUACUAGGGCUAUUCAAAGUUUAACUUUACAGACCAUUUGAGUCGAGUCAAUUUUCAAGCCGCCGGUGCAAUUACAGAACAUAUAUUCUGAAGUUUUGAAUUGAGUUUUGUAUGAUCAGAUCCUUUAUGGCUUAGUACUUAGGAGUAAACUUCGUUAUGUGUUCUGAUUAAUUGUACAACUCUUUAUGGUGUGUUUAUCAAUUGGUAAUCGGAAUGAGCUUGAAUAAGAAUUGGUUAGAAGCACCAUGAGGUAUGAGAAUCAUAAUAAAUUAUUUAUUUUACUAUAAGAAUCGAAAUCGAAAUGAACUGUAUUUUCAUUUAUGUGUUUAUUUUGUCUUAGAAUAGAAAUGAAUUGUUACAAGUUACUAAAAUGACCUCGAUGAUUAUUGUCAUUAUUCAUUAUUAUUAUUAUUAGUAGUAGUAGUACUACUACUAUUAUUAUUAUUACUACUGGUACUAUAAUAUUUAAAUGGGCUAAAAAGAUAUUUUUAAUUUUUGCUCAUGAUACAAAUAUUAAUUCACUCCUCAUUCCCACUUCUCCAUAGGAAUGUGAUUCUCAUUCAUCAAUCCCACAAGUAAACACACAAUUACUUUCUAACAAAUUCAUUUACUAAAUCAAAGUUCAUCAAUUAAAAAGAAAAAAUAAAUAGCGUCAUAGAGUUUUUUUUUUUUUUUUAAUGGGCAAAGACAAAAGUAAUUUUUUUAACCUCUACCUCCCCAAAUUUGAAUUUGGCUCAAUCAAAACAAAUUGCUUAAAAACCAUCCGGCCAAGUCCCUAGAGCAAAUUAAAUAUAUACAUAAAUGAUCAAAAACCUGUGCUUUUUUUUUUGUGUUUCUUUAUUAUUGUAAAAGGAAAAUAACAAUAAUAAUAAGCAAGAAGUUGAUAAGUUAUUAUAAUUAUUAACUUUGUGAAGAACCAAUUGAAAAGUUAGUUUCUAACACACGGUAUAUUUUUCACCAGUUUGAUUUUUUUUUUUUGGGUAAAUAGUAGAGGAGUUACAAAACCCAAAUUAAUUUUUUAACUUCCUCAACUCUCUGAGGAUUAUUUUAAAUUUGAGUAAGGACUGAACUUCGCUUCAACAAAGCCCCCAUAAGAAUCCGUUCCCACACCGUAUGGAGCCACCGUCGGUCAACCUUGCCAACCAAAUAAAACUGUUCGAAAAUCACUUGAUCUUACCUACGGGCUUCACCACUUUGAAAUUAUACUUAGAAAAGUAUCUAGUCAAUUGUUUAUUGGGAUUGUUGCCUAAAACAUUAUAUAUAUAUAUAGAUGGACUAACAUAUUGAUGGCAUAAAUACAUUUUGUCCAAAAAAUGGUGAUUAUUAAGUUUGCUAAAUUACAUGCCGUGAAGCCGACCAAUGUGAUAAUGUAAUUAAAGUUUUUGCAUGCAAUAAUUGGUAGCACACGCUAAUCUUUUGAUGGAUGCUGAUAAAGGAGUCGUCACUUCGGCGAGUUUGAAGAAAAACUCAGCCUUUGAAUAUGUCAAUUUGGUAUGACUGCCAUCCAAUUUAAAAGAGUUAGGGGAUAAGUUUAGCUCAAUGUCUCAAGACUACUAUUUGGUUACUGAAUUUAAUUGAUUAUGGCUCUCCAGACUUUGAAUAAGCUUAAGCUAGUGAUUGAGUGGAUUUUUGGUUCAUGGUUUUAAGCCUGGAUGGUCUAUUUCUGGAAGCAGAACUUGUGGGCACCCAGAUUCGAUGACCUACACAGCCCAAUAUGCUCCUUAAACAAUCAGUCUUUAGCCUAAAAAGUUUAUAAUUGGUGAUCAGUAAUGCGUAUAUAGAAAUAUACGUUGGGAUUAUAUGCUCUUUAAAGCAUAUUAAUUAAUUUAUUUUUUGAUUAAUAAAAUAUUUGAGAUAUUUUUAAUUGCAUAAAUAUUUUGAAUAAGGUCCGUUUAAUCAUAUUAUAUGUAUUUAUGUGAUCAUCAUAUGAAUUCACAGAAGAUAUAAAUACAAGUUAUCUUAUAAUUAAAUAAAGGGAAAAUAUCCACCGUCCACCUGUUUUUUUUAACUUUAUCAAAAAUACACAAUUCUUUUUUUUUUUGCUGGAAUCCAUCUAAACUUACGUUUUGUUUCACUUCUCCACUUCCUUUUGCUAUGCUGCCCGUUAUAACAUUACUGAUGUUGUAGGGGUAAAUCGGUCAUUUCAGCAUAGCAGCCAAAAACGACGUCGUUUACAACAAGACAAAGUGGUCCAGAGAAGCAAACGAGAACAACCAUGUUUAUUCACGAGUGACCCACCACCACCCUGCAUGAAGAACCAACAAAUUCCUGCCAUUCUUUCUGCAAUUUCCAUCGAUUUUUAUCAGCAAACAACGCUUGAGUAUCAAAACUUUUGUUAAGUCAAAGAUUCAGAGGUAUUGAGGGAAGUUGUGAGCGGUUUAGAAAUCUCGACACUUAGGUUUUCUGGGGUUUGAAGCUAGUAUCAAGUAAGUUUAGUUUUAUUUAUUAAUUUUCAUUUAUUUUUCGUAUGAAAUAAUAUUAUUUAAGAUUUGUAUUGAGGACAUUGUUAAUCGUUGUUUCUUGAAACCCUAGAAUACAGAUUAAGUUGAUUUAUAGUAAAUUGAGUCCGUUUUUUUAUGGUAAUGAUAAAUUGAGAAGUAAUAUGUUGUUUUAAGGCUGGUGAGAAGCACAUGCAUGAAAGAUUGUUGCUAGCAUGGUUGAAUGCAUGUUUAUCCCCUGUAUACUCAUGUACUUGUGCACGUGGUUUACAAAAUUUGGGGUUUUUGAAAAUUUGUAGUUGCUACACUAUGGGUCGUGAUUUUUAGAAAAUUUUUAUCUAAAUGCCCUAGCCCCCCUAAUGAAGGUUUGGCAUAUGCAUGUGAAAUUUGAAUCUCUCAAAGAUUAUAAUUUUUAAUCUGACAAAGUCCUCCAGGAUGUUUGUUUCUUUGGUGAAUCUGAUCGUUUGUUUUGGACAUUCAGGAUGCCACCUCUAGAGUUAGUGAUAUUCUUUUGAGGCACGAGGAAGAAUUUAAGGUUGCUUGAACCUGACUGUACUGUUGCGAAGAUAAAAGAGGCUGCUGUAAACAUUACGAGUCCAUAUGGAUUAGACUCCACUUCAAAAAUUAUGUUGAAUGCCACGAACCUGGAGAAUAAGAUGAAAGUUGCACUGGAUUCAGAAUUUGCACUCGAAUUUUUGCGUAAAAUUCAUUAGAUUGUGGUGUCAGUACUUUAACUGUUGAAGUUGUACCAAUUCUUCACCCUCAGUUUCAAGAUUCCUCCUUACUGCAAGCAUUAUUAACGAACCUGGGAGUUGUAUUGCCUGAUGAAUUAAUUACUCAGUUGAAUGAAUCUGUUGAUGGAAAUGCUUCUGUUGGGGGACAAACUGUUGUCGGGAGACAAGCUGCUGUUGGGGGACAAGCUGCUAUUGGGGAACAAGUUGCUGUUGGGGAACAAGUUGCUGUUGGGGCUGAUAAAUUUGAUGAGGAUGCAUGGCUAUCUGACUAUUCAGACAGAAGAGCUGACAGUGAUGAUGAUGAUGUUAAUAUGGAAUUCAUGGAAACUGAAUUUGAUGGUGCUGUUGAACCUAAACCUAUUAUUGACGAGGGUAGUGAGGACAGUGGAGAUCAUCAGAGGGGUGAAAGCAGCGACUUGGAAUCCGAUUCAGAUGACAAUCUGUCUGAUUCUAAUAAAGAGGUAAGAAGACUGGUUGAUUCUUCUGAUGAUGAUGUUGAGCUAGGCACUGUCCAAUUAACUAAUUACUUACAGCAACAUGAGUACAAAGUAGGUGCCGAUGGGAAACAUAGGCUUAAAUUAGGGCAUGUAUUUAGAGAUGUUGGUCAUUUUAAGGAGAUAUUGCAUGAGGUAAUGGUUAGAAAAAGGUUUGCCAUUAAAACAGUAUAUAGUGAGCCAAGACGAUUCGUAGGUACUUGUAAAGAAGCUAACUGUCCAUGGUACGUGUCUGGUGCAAAGCUGAAUGAUGGGACUGGUUUUAUAUUGCGAGAAUAUAACAAAAAUCAUGAGUGUAGGCUUACUAACAAGACAGUGAAAGUUACAUCUGCUUGGGUUGCUUCUAAAAUAAAGGGUCAGGUUGCUGUUGACCCUAAUGUCAAGAUUGAUAUUCUGAAGAAUCAUAUGCAAGAGACGUAUGGUUUAAAGAUUGGGAAGCUGACACUGUAUAAGGCUAGAGCAAAGACAAGACUUGAGGUAUUUGGGGAUCAUUCGAGGGGAUAUCAGAAAUUAUUUGACUAUGCUGCUGCCAUUCACAAGGCUGAUCCAGGAGCAAUAUGCAAGGUGUUAUGUGAUACUAUUUCUAUUCCUAAUAAGGUAUUAUUCCAGAGGUUUUUUGUUGCCUUUCCAGCACAAAAAAAUGCAUAUCUUAACGGCUGUAGACCUUUUGUUGGGGUAGAUGGAUGUCACUUGAAAGGCAAGUACGGUGGAGUGUUGUUAGCUGCUGUUGGCAUAGAUGGUAAUAAUGGGAUAUUCCCUUUAGCGCUAUGUGUUUGUGAGAUUGAGAAUACAGAGACAUGGGGAUGGUUUAUGGAGAACUUGAAUAAUUAUUUGGAUGAUGGAAGGCAAGUCACUUUCAUUAGUGAUAGACAAAAGGGGUUGAUUAAUGCAAUUUCAACCACUUGGCCUACUGCCUAUCAUAGGGCGUGUUCUAGGCAUGUUUAUGCUUAUUUUUCCAAGUCGUUUGCUGGUGCACAGUUGAAACAAUUAUUUUGGAAAGCUGCCAAGAGCAGUAACAAGCAUGAUUUUAACGAGGCAAUGGCAGAGAUCAAGGCUGAAAAAGAAGCUGCAUUUGAGUGGUUGGAACGAGAACUACAUAGUUAUAAUUGGUCAAUGCACACAUAUGACAGAAAUUGCAUGGUAGAUCAUACCGAUAACAAUGCAUCAAAGUGCUUCAACAGCUGGAUAUUAGCUUACUGAGACAGACCUUGUUUGACAAUGCUUGAAGAAAUAAGAUGUAGACUUAUGAAACGGUUUACAAAAAGAAGAAAUGAGGCAGCCACUUGGAAAAAACAGCUAACCCCUAAGGUUUUGAAAGACUUGGACAAAAAAAAUAAGAUUGCACAGAAGAUGAUUGUACAAGCUUCUGGUGAUCUUAAUUUUCAAGUCAUGGAUAGAGGCUAUAAUCCACCUAGGAGGUUUGUUGUGAAGCUAGAAUGUAGAACAUGUGAUUGCGGUUAUUGGGAAAUUGCUGGCCUCCCUUGUCAACAUGCUAUGGCUGCCAUGGGAUAUGCAAGACAUCAAGUUCAGGAGUAUGUUCCAACUUGCUUUAGUAGACAAGCUUACCUUAGCACUUAUUCAGUGAUGUUCAGCCCCCUUUCAGAUCAGUGUACAUGGGAGCCUACAAGAAGGCCAUUGAUUGACCCACCAAUUGUUGAAAUAAAGAUUGGAAGGCCCAAAAAAUCCAGAAAAAGAGCAGCAAAUGAGCCUCAAAAAGAGAAAAGAAAAUUCUUUGUCAUUUGCUCAUUUUAUGGUGGUUCUAAUCACAACGUGAGAAGCUGUCCGUUGAGGCCAUCUGUUGCAAGGUCAAAUAGAGCGAGGAACAAUAAUUUUCAGGUAUAUUUAAUAUACUAUUAUUAUUUAUUAUGUUUAUCAUUAUUUAUUAUGUUUAAUAUAUUUAUACUGUCGUUAUGUUUACUAUCAUAAUGGUUUAUAGGCAUCAACAACAUCAAGCCAGCCAUUAAAUGCUUCACAGCAGGCAAGAUUGAAAAGAAAACAGGUGCUACUAGUAGUUCGUUUGUGCCUUCAUAGUUUGUUUUAUGUAUAAUAUAAAAUUCAUUUGCAAAUCAACAUAUUUUAUAGGCGGCAGCAGCAAAGUCAAUUUGUUCAGGCCAGCCAGCAGCUACUGCAUCUGAAACAGCAAGAAAGGUGUUAUCUUGGUUCAAUAUUUAUAUCUUUUUGUAUUUUUUGUUCAAGUUCUUAAACUAACNNNNNNNNNNNNNNNNNNNNNNNNNNNNNNNNNNNNNNNNNNNNNNNNNNNNNNNNNNNNNNNNNNNNNNNNNNNNNNNNNNNNNNNNNNNNNNNNNNNNNNNNNNNNNNNNNNNNNNNNNNNNNNNNNNNNNNNNNNNNNNNNNNNNNNNNNNNNNNNNNNNNNNNNNNNNNNNNNNNNNNNNNNNNNNNNNNNNNNNNNNNNNNNNNNNNNNNNNNNNNNNNNNNNNNNNNNNNNNNNNNNNNNNNNNNNNNNNNNNNNNNNNNNNNNNNNNNNNNNNNNNNNNNNNNNNNNNNNNNNNNNNNNNNNNNNNNNNNNNNNNNNNNNNNNNNNNNNNNNNNNNNNNNNNNNNNNNNNNNNNNNNNNNNNNNNNNNNNNNNNNNNNNNNNNNNNNNNNNNNNNNNNNNNNNNNNNNNNNNNNNNNNNNNNNNNNNNNNNNNNNNNNNNNNNNNNNNNNNNNNNNNNNNNNNNNNNNNNNNNNNNNNNNNNNNNNNNNNNNNNNNNNNNNNNNNNNNNNNNNNNNNNNNNNNNNNNNNNNNNNNNNNNNNNNNNNNNNNNNNNNNNNNNNNNNNCAGUACUUGGGAAUGCAUUUAAUUUUUCUCUGUGGCUGUCCACUGGCUGCAGAACUUGAACUAUAACUUGAUGCCAUUUUAAAUGUGUAGAUGAUGUGUUUCAAUGAAUAGUUAAUCAAGUGAUGUGUGGAUGAUGGUUGAGCAGGUCUUGAGUUUGAAUGAAUGAAUGGUUGAGUGGCUGUAAUGUUUCAAUGUGUUAUGAUGAAUGGUACAGUUAUGAUGUGUUAUGGAUUAUGGUUGUAUGAUGAGGUUUAUAUGCCUGGUUGUAUGAGGUUUAUAUGCCUGAUUGGGAGCAGCUUGCAUGGUUGAAUGACCUCUUCAUGCAUGCUGAUUCUUGUGUUUAUAUGCCCCAAAUUGUAGCCGUUGGCAGCUAACGGCUACAAUAACAAACUGCCAUUUUUUGCUGUUUUUGAGGGUGAAAUUGUUAUUUUUGUUCUGGGGGCAAAAUAGUCAUUUAACUAAGAAUCUGUUAGUUUUCGUAACGGGCAGCAAACAGAAGUGGAGAAGUGAAACAAAACGUAAGUUUAGGUGGAGUUCAGCAAAAAAAAAAAAAAGAAUUGUGUAUUUUUGAUAAAGUUAGAAAAAAUAGGUGGAUGGUGGAUAUUUUCCCUUAAAUAAAUUAAGUUUGUAGUUGAUAAAUAGAGUUGGAUGCUCUAUUUAUGUUUAAACUGUAAUAAAUUCAUUGAAUGAUUUGUCUUAAUCAUGUAUGAAUUUAUUGAUGUAGUACGAUUACAUUGAACAUGAUCACAUAUGAGAUUUAAUUAACUUUGUAAUAACUGUCAGACUUAUUAAAUCUCAUAGGCAUUGAUUUUAUUGUAAUUUUAAUCUUGAGUUAGUUAUGAUUUUAUAAUUGUAAUUGUUAUUCCAUUUGAGUUACCAAUGGGCACGACACACACUUAUAGUCAAAAUUAUUCGGUAUCUUGGUGGGAGCAAUUAUGAGUAUUGGAGUUAUAGAUUAACAAUAUAUAAUUUGUACAACACAUCUCUUGAUGAGUUUUCGGCACUUGAUUAUAGAAUUUUCUGGCCAGAGUGUGUCAACAUAUUUAGUAUGUUGAAAAUGAUCAUUAGAGAAAACCAGUAAGUAUCAAGGAACAAGAUGCAAUUAAAUUGAUUGGACAGUUGAGAUAUCGAUUUAAUUAACGAUGUGGUACAAAUGAUUAUGUAGUAAAGAAAUCAAUGUGGCACGGGUCGAAUUAUUAUUCGAGUACACUAUCCUAGAUAGCAUACAAUUAUGGAGUCGAUUCCAAUCUUUUAGUGGAGUAGAUUUGGAAUUAAAAAAGUGGGAUAAUUUAAUUACAUGCCUAAUUAUUGUAGCCACUGUUGUAUGUACUCAUAUGAUCCCCAGGUUAGCUCAUUUAAUUGACUGCGCCGCUACUGGAUUAAUAAGCAAGAUAACUAGCUAUUUGGGUUAAAAGCCUAAAUAUAUUAUUUAGUGGGAGGCUCCAUAUAAUGUGCUUGUUUCUAAAGGGUCUUGUGUUAUUUUACAAGGUGGGCUCCUAUGACAAGAAGAAGUAACGUUACUUUUGAUUUUAUUAUUUUUAAUUUAAAUCAAAUUUGAUUUAAUAGAAUUAAAAAUAUAAAAAUAUGGAGCUUAGGGUUUCCACUAAAUACAGAUAUCAAAAGGCUUAUUUUCUCCCAAAAGAAAGGGAGAGGCCAUAUUAUACAGAUCAAAGAAAAAUAUUUUCUCUUUAAUUUUGUGAGAAAAUUUUUUUUCCUGCUAGUUGCUUUUAGUGGUGAUAAAGGCGUCCACACGUCAAGUACAUAUCAAACCUGAGUCGCAACCUGGAAGAUCAUUGGUGACGGAUCGUGAUCUAACAACUGUGGUGGUGACGGAUCAUGAUCUAAUAGGCGUGAUGGUGAUGGAUCGUGAUCUAAUAGGCGUGGUGGUGACGGAUUGUGAUCUAACAGAAGUGGUGGUGACAUAUCGUGAUCUAAGAGCCUGGAUUAUUUUCAAUUGUUCAUCUUCUCAUAUUAUUAAGGUAUGAUUUUCUAUAUUACGAAUAUAUUACGAAUUCUUAUGUAUUAUAUGAGAUCGAUCCUGAAAGUUUUUUUUUAUAAAAAAAACUGAUUUUUCUCCAAUAAUAAGUACUUUUUUGCCUCAUCAUCUAUCUUAUCUGCUUCAAUUCGCAGAUAUCUCACAAAGAACAUUUCCUUCUGGAAAAACUAGGCAAAAGUUGGACACUAGUGGUGACUUUCCUUGGAAAACAUUGUCUACGCUGGAGAAAAAUCAAAAUGGAAAGUUGGCAGCAACUUUAUGACAGGAAAGUUCUUGUGAAAGAAAUGAUCGAAUCUGGUAGCAGCUAGAAAUGUCAACUGCCGAAUAUUUUGAAAGCCCUGUCAUGGAAUUGACGACUCCUGAAAUUUCUGGAUUCCACAUGUAUGAAAGUGGCGAAAGGUUAGUAACUGUUGUAGGAUUAGGAAUAAGCAGAGCUGUAGCAGAAAGUACAUUGGGAGCUUACUUGAACUUACUGAGCUUGCUAGACACUCACAUAGCAGAUACACUCUCAUGCUGAGCUGGCAGAAUUCGUCUAUUGUGGUUGUAAUAGAAUUUAUUGAUUGUAAUAGUAUCUAGUAGCUUCUAUGAUUUGGCAUUAGCUUCGCAAGAUCCAAUUCAGUUACUAGAUAAGUAACAUUCUAAACAUUCAUUCAUUAUGCAAGUAUUAUAAUCAAGUGUUUGCUUGCAACUGGAAUUUUCUUUUUAGUUUUCUUUCUUUUUUCUAUCACUUCAUCACUUACCAACACUUUCUUUACAAAUUCCAAAAACAUAUAAGUCGAGGCCAUAAUUUGCACCACCAACUGCAUGACGAUGUUGAUGUGCAUUGGAAUCAUCCGCUACCUAUUAACAAAAAUAAAUAUAUUUUUUUUAUAAGAAACACAAAAUAAAAUGUAGUCUAUAUAUAGAUGAUAACUAUGCAAUUUAUAUAUUUUACUAUACAGUAAGAUGCAAGAAAGGUAGAAAGGCAUAGGUUGCUAGGUUCAGUUCCAAGUUGGCAAUACAAAUUGUAACUAUACUGCAACUUUUUUCAACAUAUUAUACACACUUCACUGAUGCGGAUUAUGUUUACUGACCAAUACGUUUUAAGUCAUUCAUGUUAAAAUAAUUUUUCCUAUUCUUUCAAUAUAACUAGUACGUACACAUAAUUAAUUAAUUAGAUACAAACUGGUUGGGAACCUUAUAAAAUUUCCUAUACGUAUUUUCUCUUUUUGGGGCUAAGCUGGCAAUGAAUGUUGCAAAUCCUUACGACAGCGUGUUAAGUGAAGGCCAACUUAGUGCCAGGGUAUGAAAGAUAUAACCUUUUCCUUUCUUUUCAAAAUAAAAAGAACCUUUACAAUGUUAAAAAAAUUUAGAGGAUUUCAGGCUUCCAAAUUAGGACCAUCAAGAUCAAAACGUCUAUAGACCUGGAGCUACCACUUUUCAAUUAACAACAAGCUUGGAAAAGGUGGCUUUGGGCCCGUAUACAAGGUAAGCUUGAAACUUGCUAAUGAAAUGAUCCCAAGUACAAAUUACUUAUUUUACUUGGUAAUUAAUUUCCCAUAUAUUUUUUCAUGGCACACUUGUGGAUGGAUAGGAAAUUGCUGUGAAAAGGCUUUCAAAGAUUUCUAGUCAAGGAUUGAAGUAGUUAAAGAAUGAAGUUCUACUAUUCUCCACAUUAUAGCACCAAACUCUUGUAAAGUUUCUUGGCUAGUGCAUUCAAGAAGAGGAAAAAUUGUUAGAUUUAUGAAUUCGUGCCAAACGAAAGCCUCAAUUGCUUCAUAUUUGGUCCGUAUCCCUAUAAAAAUUACAAUUUUCAGGUAGCUUUUGCAUUCAUUAUAGGCAUUUCUUAUAAAUUAGCAAUUUUUGUUUUUAAAUUUUAAAAAAUUCGAUCUGGGAGUUGUAACACCUCAAAUCUAACACGUGAACAAGGAGGUUACUUAUAAAUCGUAAUCCUUACUCAUAAAUUCCAAAUUGAAAUACCUUAAAUUCUUAUUCAAAUAAAUCCACAAAUUCAUAUGUCUAACACUAAAUAAUCUCUCCCAAAACAAAAGUCUCAAACUCCAAAUUACAAGUUCAUAACAGAAAUAAAAUAAAUAGAAACAUGAGUCUAUUCCUCUUCUUAUUCAAAUAGCAACUGGAAACGAAAUCUCUAACUCCAAAGCUAAGCACACCUCUCAAAAAGGAACUUAAUCUGCAAAAACUAAUGACGAGGGGUGAGCUGUCAAUUCGAUAAGUAAAGCCAUUCCUAACACACUAGGCCUAUUGAUACCAAAAAUAUUGCAAGCCUCUUUAGUAAAACAUAUUUCAUAAAUCCAUAAAUUUCGUAAAACGAUAUAUCAUGAUAACAUAACAUAAAUUCUUGAUAAUUCAGAAUAUCCAAAAGUAUAUUCACUUACAAAGCAAAUCAUAUAACACAUAUGCAGAAAACAAAAGGUUAGCUCAUGUCACAUAGUAUCACCUAUAGUCCCGGUGACCCGGCCAGAAACAGAAUCAGAAUAUCGUGUGCACACUCAGAACAGAAACCUAGUAUUGGUCCAGAACAGACAUAUAUCGUAUUAUACGAUCAUAUAUGACAAUUAAUAACUUAUUCUCUAAGCCUCUAAGAGCCUCAAUCACCUCCAACGCCUUAAAGAAAUACAAGAUAUGACAAUUAAUAACUUAUUCCAAGAAUUUGAUUUUCUAAUUCAUACCCGUACAGGUCUGAUUCUCCGAAUUUUAACUCUUAAUCUAAAACUCAUAAUGACAUAAUGUUCUAUGGAACUAUUCUGGACAUCCAUGAGUACCCCAUGUAAAAUUUCAAGAGAAUCCGAUAUCAAAAACAUUUUCAAAACUAUUUUUUUCUCAACAAAUUCGAAAUUGUUUUCACAUAAACCAAUAGAACAGGUUCUGUGAUUUUUAUAAGAGAAAAUACUAAUCAGAAAAUACUAAUCCUAGACACAUAUAUUAACCUACAUAUAAACUUUCAGAAUUUUCCGAGUUAAUUUAGUGGUACAAAUAAUCUUGUGAAUCCGAUCGCAAUGCUGGAAUCGCAGUUUUCUAUUGCAGUGGUUUCUGUUUCGAAAAUAAAUAUAAAAUUGAAAACGAAGUCGAAUUUAAUGAAAUAAAAUUUAUUCAAGAAGUCCUACAUGUCUAGUUUCCAUAAAUAUAAAUUUCAUAAGAAAAAUCAUUCAGAAAAUAUGGGUUUAAAUUUGAGAUACUCAUACUGUCUAGAAUUAUCUUGUGUGCUUAAUACGACAAUGAUCGAUUAACUAAACUCAUAAUAAAUCAAAACCCUAAACAAAGCCUAAAUACAUCCUAAAUUAUGCAUUAUGAUCUAUAACAAUCUAAAAUCAUGCCAAUAUAAACCCUAGAUAGAGUGAUUAAAAAUUUGUUGAGAAUAGGGAGAAUAACUUACCCGCGCUUUGAUUCUCUCCUAAACGAAGAUUGAAUCCUAGGGUUUAGGUAGGAGCAUAAAGAGCAGCAGAGAAGAAGAAUAAAUGUUGUGGACUUAGGGUUAUGGAAGGGAAAACGUAUGAAUUUAUAGGGAGUCUUAAGAAACCCUAUUUAAUUUGGAAAAAUAACUAUUUCCCAAAACUAUCUCAUAAAUAACAUCUAUUUAUAAUUUAGUAUCUCUUUCUAAUAAGGGUUAUAGGCCACCCAUAAUUCCCAAUGAAAGCCCAAUUUUGAUAAUUUAAUAUUAUGGAAAUUUGCGGUGUUACAGGAGUUGUACAACCCUUUACAUGACACUUUAUGGAUCAAACAAGGCGUAUGCUAUUGGAUUUGUCCAAGCUAUUUAAGGAUAAAUUUGGAAUGAUAUUUUUGGACUAAUAAAUGAAUGACAAGUGGACAAUUAUAAGGGUAAAAUGGGCACAAUACUUAGAGUAAUAUGAAGAUGUCGUUUGAAAGAAUUAACUACAUUUGACUAACUUGAAAAUCAAUGGUCAAAAUUGAAUGUUUUAAGAUAUUUAUGAGAAGGAAAAACCUAGUUCAAAAGGAAAAUUCUAGUCCUUUUUCCCUAGACAUGACACAUAGCCCUAAAAGUAAUUUUUCUUUUUAACCUAAGGAUAAUAUUUAGCCCUAACUUUUAUGCACUCCUCUGACUACUUGCCUUUACUAUAUAAAUGUUUUAUUUACCCAUAUUAAGGUAUGCUCUCAUUCUAUCAUCUCCUUACCUCCUCUUCUCUUCUCUUCUCUUUCUUACACUCAUUCUCUCCAUCUUUUAGAUCAUGCACCUACUUCUCUAUUUUUGGGAGGCCAUUUUUAUUCUCCACCAUAAUAUUACUCCUCAUAUUUUUAUUCACCAUCUUCAUCAUUAUCAAGACCAGCAUCUCCAUAUAGUUAGAUACCUUAUGUUAUUCAUCUUGUGUAAUAUAAAAUCUUAUGUAACCUCUUAUUUAUAUAUCUAUAUAGCUUAUGUUAUUCAUCUUAUAUAAUGUAAAAUCUUAUGUAACCUCUUAUUUAUAUAGUGGAUUAGUGAUUACUUCCUCUUGUAGAUGUAAACCAAAGGCCGAACUAUGUAAAUAUUAUGUGUUCUUUGUACUUAUGUUCAUUUUGCUAUAUUUUCAAUUUGAGAUUGAGAUUGAGAUUGUAUAUCAUGUAUGAGCUUAUCUGUGCUAUCCUACCCACACUAAAUAUUUUGUGAGACCACCUAAGUUAUCCCUAGAGUAUACUUGAGCUACACCUAAACAUAUAUUAGCCCUUCCAAUCAAAUCUUAUGGGGUUCUAUUGAGCUUACCUUCUUUUUUCUUAUACAACCACCUCAAUUCACUAUAUCUAUUACUUUAUCUCACCAACUAGGGUACCUCAGCUAAACAACCUAUCUUAAACAUUAAAAAAAAAAACACAUUUAAACCCAAACUUAGCACAAACUUUACUCAAAUAUAUAUUUAUUUGUCUGAAUUAGAUUUAAGCUGCAUGUGGUGAGAACUACCCAAUUGAUUUUAAUUGAAUCAUAGCAAAACUUUGGUGAAAACAAUUGACGCCGUCUAUGGGGAGUAGCAAAAAAGGCUUACAUUGUGGUGACUAGUUUGGUUUAGAAUGUGUUUAGACAAAUAGACAGCUGAGGUAUCCUCAAAUACAAAUAGUGCCAUGUGGAGUACUUGAGAUAUACCAAUAACUGGCAAGCAAAGCUCUAUCUACCAGCUUAGGAGAAAUCAAAUAUCACUCAGCUAUCCAUAUUUAAGUCAUCGCCAAGUCCAUAUCUGAUUCACCCAUGACUCGUAGGGAUGGAGCCCUGGGGUAAUUGAGUGAGGAAAAACAUUAAGGAGAACUUAAAGAGCAACAAUUGAUUUUUAUAGAUACACAUCCAAAUUCAUAAGGAGUAGUAAAUGCUUGGAAAUAUCACUAGAAGUGUGUUUUCAAUGUAUUCUUUCAGCGUAGCAUAAUGCCGAAAAAUUGUGUUAUGUCAUAACAAGCUGGGAUACUUGACUUAUCUUAAUCAUGAACAAUCGCUCAAAGUCAAAACCAGCAAAAGGAAUACAAAGAUAUAACUAACAGCUUCUUAGAAAGAUCAUGGAAUAAUAAUUGUUUGAAGAAAGAGAGAGGGUCAAAGAAGAUCCGAGGGCAGAAUACAGUGUCGUAAAAUUCUGCUAAGGUAUGUGCAUGAUUACUCUCAAUUCUCUUACUUAAGCAAAAGUGAGGGAUGAACAACCUGAAAAGUGAAGGACAACCACAUGAAUAGGAUGUCUGAAGUACUUACAAGGGCAGGCUAGCCACCGCUUUAAUCACAAUUUAUCUUACUAAUUUGAUUCAAAGAAUAUGACAGAUUAUUAGGUUUUCGAUAUUUCGUAGAAAAAUAGAUGAGCAACCUCCUUUAUCCUUGUUUAUCUUGCUAAUUUGAUUCAAAACAAAUGGCAAAUCAUGAUGUUUUUGACCAUUUUGCCAAAAAAAUAGGCCAAAAGAGUCCUUAAAAAAGCUCGAGAAGAGCAAGAAAUAAAUUUAUUCACCAUAGUUAUUACGCGAAUUGUAGAGUUUCAUUCUUAAUUUAUUUGUCAUGUUUGUUGGAUUUUGAAUAUUGAAUUCUUAUUUGUAUUGUGAAUCACUAUAGAUGAUAAUUAUCACCAAUUAUUAUUAUGUCGAUGAUGGUUGAGCUCCUUUAGUUAUUUAUUUGAAUGGAUUGAGAACUCCUAUAAAAGUAAAUUUUGAUUGCUAUGAGAAUAUACACAUACAUGAUAAGUAUGAAUUGUGAUUGCCAUAAGAAUAUGUACACAUGAUAAGCAUGCAAUGCAAGCACCAUAAGGGAAGCUGAGCUACCCCCACUAUUUAUUUCUGAUUAUUUAGAUUAUAUUCACCAAAUAGAUUGAAGUUACUUCUUUGCUCCUAUGAUGCUUGCUUAAUUCUUGAUUCAAUAACAUGAAAACUAGUCCCAUUAGUUAGUACAUCAGGGGUAGCAAAGUUGUCUAACUAUUGAUUCAUGAGUAUAUAAGUGGAUUGAGAAUUCAUAUAUAUCUCAGUUGAAGAGACUGAAUAUAAUCACCAUUUUAGACAAAUAAUGAUCUUUUUGUGGAAGAAAUUUGAUAACUCUAUUAAAUGAGAUUUAUCAUGGUACUUUUAGACUUAGAUCAUGAUUAUUUAGAGAGUAAAUGACAUGUUUUUAUUGCAUUUUAGUAAUAUUUUGCAUAAACAUCAAUUUUUGUUUAUUUUUAAUAAGUUUUGUUUGAUUUAAAAUAAAUUGUGUGCUUCGAUCAUAUGCAUAAUUGUAGGUGAUUGGAAGCUCAAAUUUCAAGGAAGGAAUACCGCUCCAAUAGGCUUGUAAGGAUAAGGAAAGAACAUGGUUACAGAAGAAUUGAAACAAGUCUCGAACAAUGCAGAUGUUGAAGCUAAUGUUGUAGCACUGUUGCUGUAGCAUUGUUGCUGUAGCACUCCUGGAGCAAUGGCAAAGAAGAUUUCACAUGAGAUACUUAGAAGAUAGCGAUAUGGAGUUUCCUAAACUAGAAGAUGCGCGCCCUAGACCUCCGGUUGCCCUAAUUCUAGGCUAUAAAAUGAGCAAACAUGCAAAGAAAAAGUAAGAGGCCGUCAUUAGAGAAAAAGAAUAGAGAAAUAAAAUAAGAGAAAACAAAGAUCAAGAGAGAGAAUUGAGGACAUCAACAAAGGAUUCUAAAAGAACAACAAGCGGAUCUCACUCUUAUUUCUUGUUCUCUUGUUUUUAUCUUGUUAUGAUAAAUUGUUUGAUGGCUGAAACAAUUUUGCUUCUUGUUUUAUCGCAAAUUAUGAACUAAAUUUUCUUGUGGUUGAGUGAUAAACAAAUUUGAUAUUUAAUUGACUAAUAUUAUGUGUUGCUGCAUGUUUGCUAUAGCACGUUAUUUUGAUAAUACUUAUUUCAAUUCACUAUUUUGGCUGACCAUCUAUUUAGUGAUACUAGUUAAGAGUGAGCCUAAAAAAGGUAUGUCUUAGUAGAAUAUAUCAGAGCAAUACUUGAUUUUAGAUUGGGUUUCCUGAGUUGGGUUUAACUUGAUUAGAAAAGGACCAUGCUUAAUCUAAAAUUAGUGAUGAACUAGAUAUAGAGAUUCAUCUUGUAGGGUUAUUAGAAUCUAAAAUGUGUAAUGCUAUAUCUAAUGUUAGCAUAACAAUUAGUUACUAUUAAGUUGUAUUUAGGUAUAAGACAUCCAACAUGCGACAGCUGAGGAUACAUAAGGAUUCUGCCCAGUGCUAUAGCAGAUGCUGUAGCAACUGAGCCAAACAUUAGAAAAAUAGUCAAAACCAUUAAGUGGGUUUAAUCAUUCAACUACUUCAUUCCCCUUGGUUACAUCCUUAUAGUUGUUGUGUUAAUUUACUUUAUUGCAUUUUUCUUAUUGCGUUUUUAUUUUAAUUAGUUCAUUAGUUUAGUAAUUUUUUUAAUUUAGAAUAACAAUUGCAUUGAUAAAAUUAUGGUAGCAAUUCUCAUAACCACAAUCCUUGAGGACACGAUCUUGAAUACUUAUCAUUAUAUUAUUUAUUGUGUACAUUUGCACAUUGACACCAAUAGAAUUAGAAAAUUUACAACAAAAUUCUAUGAAGAUUUGUAUAGCUGAGAUAUUCUAUAACAGUUGAGCUAUGCCUAAGAUGUAUGGGUCGCAUACCUUAAAGAACCACAACACCUAAAAAAACUCCAAGGCCUCCAACUAAUGGUCAAUUCAAGAUGCAUGUUAGAGGGUAACCUCUUGAUUUUUAUCCUGGUCAUCAUCCUUAGGAGUUGAAGAUCUCUCGUGUACAUUAAAGACUCUAGUUAAUGGUCAAUUCAGGAAGUAUGCUAGAGGGUAUUAUCUGGAUUUUUCUCUUAGCCAUCAUCUUUAUGAUUUGUGUAUCCCUUGGGUAAACCAAGGACUCCAAAAGGUUGUUGACAACUCUAUGAAAUGAGAGUUAUCAUGACACUUUUAGACAUAAAUCAAGAUUACUUAGAAAGUAAAUGACAUAUUUUUAUUGCAUUUUAGUUUUAUUUUGCAUGAAUAUACAUUUUAGUUUAUUUUUAAUAAAUUACGUUGUUUCAAAAUAAUUUGUGUGCUUAGAUCAUUUGCACAAUUGUAUGUGACCGGUAGCUCGAAUUUUAAAUAAUUAAUGUUGCUGCAAUAACCUGGAAAAAUAAGGAAAGAACUUGGCUACAGAAGAAUUGAAACAAAUCUGGAACAGUGCAAUUGUUGUAGCCAUUGCAGUAGCAACCGUUGUUGUGGCAUCGUUGCUAUAGUAAUCCUAGAACAACGAUAGAGAAAAUUUCGCACGAGAUAUAUGGAAUAUUGCGAUCUGCAGUUUCCUAAUCUGGAAGAUAUACAUCCUAGGCUACCGUUUACCCUAAUUUUCAACUAUAAAAGGAGCACACAUCACAAGGAAAGAGGAGGGUUGUCACCCAAGGAGAGAAACCACAAAAAAACAAAUGAAAAAUAGAAUUCAAGAGAGAGAUUGAGGGCUGGACAAGAGAAGAAUUUGCAAAAAUCAAUCGGGAACUCAGUCCUUCUUAUUCUUCUCUUGUUUUCUUGUUUACUUUUUAGUCAUGAGGAUGUAUUUGAUGAUUGAAACUUUGUUGUUUACUUUUCUUUCACAACUUAUGAAUUAAAUUUACUUGUGGUUGAGUAAUAAACAACCUUAAUGGUUCCUUGACUGAAUUUAUACGUUGUUGCAUGUUUGCUAUAACAUUUUGUUUUGAUAGUAUUUAUUUCUAUUAAUUUUUUCGAUUGAUCACCUAUUUAAUGAUACUAGCUAAGAAAGAGUUAUAAAAUGGCCUAUCUUAGUGGAACAUAUCUGAACAAUAUUUGGUUUUAGAUUGGAUUUCCUGGAUUGAGUUUAACUUGAUUCCAAAAGGGUCAUAUUUAAUCUAAAAUUAGUGAUGAACUAGAUAUAGGGAUUCACCUUGUAUGGUAAUUAGAACCUAAGCGUGUAAUGUUAUAUCUUAUGUUGGCAUAACAACUGAUCGAUGUUAGAUUACAUACAGAUAUAAGAUAUCCAACAUGCGACAAUUGAGGAUACAUAAGGAUUAUGUCUAGUACUGUAGCAGAUACUGUAGCAACUGAGCCAAACAUUAAAAAAAUAGUCAAAACCAAUAAGAAAGUUUAUUCACUCAACUACUCUAUAUUCCUAUUGGUUUUAUCCUUGAGUUUGACGUGAUAAUUUACUUUGUUGCAUUUUAUUUAUUGUGUUUUUAUUUUAAUUAGUAUAUUAAUUUCAUUAAUUAUUUUAUUUUAAUUUAGAACAAAAUUUGCACUGUUAAGAUUGUUGUAGCAAGUAUGAUAACAUCAAUCCCUGUGGAGACGAUCUUGAAUACUCAUCAUUAUAUUUCUUAUUAUGUACAUUUGCACAUUGACACCAAUAGCAUUUGAAUUUAUCGCAACAGUUGUCAAUUUAGGAAGCAUGUUAAAGUUCACUUAAGGAAGGCUAAGCUCCCUCGGUCACCUCACCUACUGCAAAAAGGUCACAAGACAAGUAAACUAGCAACUAGAAGCAGCCACAUGUCAUUAAAUCCAAAUUUUAUUUUUCGAGUUUCUUGUGAAUCAAUUCUUUCAACACAAGAAACUAAAGAGAUCUUGUUGGAGGUAGAUUUGGAAUGUGCUCUAAUAAAUGAAUGAUAAGUGGACAAUUACAAGGGCAAAAUAGGCACAAUACUUAAAAUAGUAUAAAGAUAUCAUUUUGAAGAAUUUGCUACAUUGGAUUGGCUUGGAAAUCAAUGUUUAAGGUUGGAUGCUUGAAGAUAUUUAUGAGAAAGAAUAAACCCAGUACAAAAGGAAUUUUUUUUCCUUUUUCCCUAAAUAUGACACAUAGCCCUAAAAACAUUUUCUCUUUUUAACUUAAGGAUAACUUUUAUUCUAACUUUUAUGCACUCUCUUCACCACUAACCUCCACUAUAUAAAUGUUUUAUUCCCAUAUUUGGGCAUGCUCUCAUUUUAUCAUUUAUUUGCCUCAUCUCUUCUUCUCUUUCUCCCCCCCCCCAUUUUCUCUCUCUCUCUCACACUCACACAUGCAUAUUUUCUCUCUUUCUCUCAAUCUUUUAGAUCAUUACCCAUUUCUCUAUUUCGAAGAGGGCAUUUCUAUUCUCCACCUUCAUCAACUUCUCCACCAUAUUAUCACUCCCCAUAUUUUCAUUUACCAUCUUCAUCUUUAUCAAGACCAACAUCUCUAUAUAGCUAUCUACCUUAUGUUAUUCAUCAUGUUUAAUGUAAAAUCUUAUGUAAACUCUUAUUUAUAUUGAUUACUUGCUCCUGUGGAUGUAAACCAAAGGCCAAACUAUGUAAAUAUUGUGUGUUCUUUGUGGGACCACCUAAGUUAUCCUUUGAUUACACUUGAGCUACACCUAAACAUAUAUUAGCUCCACCCCAAUCAAAUCCUAUGAGGUUCCACUAAACUUUCCUUAUUUUUCCUUAUAUAACCACUUCAACUCACUAUACCUAGUACUUUUGCUCACCACGUAGGGUACUUCAGCUAAACCACCUGCCUUAAAUAUUAAAAAAAUACACUUACACCCAAACUUAGCACAAGCUCCCCUCAAAGAUAAAUUUAUUUGUUUGAAUCAACUUUAAGUUAGGUCUGAUGAGGAUAACCCAAUUAGUUCGAAUCAGAUCCUAGCAAAAAUUUAGUGAAAGCACAAGCGUUUCCACAUUAUUUGCAGGACUGCUAGGGGUCUUCUCUAUCUGCAUCAAAAUUCAAGAUUGAGGAUUAUACAUUGGGAUCUCAAAGCAAGUAACGUGUUACUCAAUCAUGUUAUAAACCUAAAAAUUUUAAAUUUUAGCUCGGCCAAACCUUUUAGUUGUGAGGCGACAGAAGGAUGCUCAAACAAAGUGGUUGGAACAUAGUAGGCACUUACUGUUUUGUCAUCUUUACAAUUCAUUUGCAUUGAUUCCUAAAGAAUAACACUUUUUAAUCCUUUAAAAUGCUUAUAUGGCACCACAAUACGCUAAUGAUGGGCUAUUCUGAGUAAAUUAUGAUGUCUCUGGCUUUGGCAUUUUAUUGUUGGACAUAGAAAGAAAAAUUAAGGAUUUUAUUGUUCAGACCAGAGUUUGAACCUCAUAGGACAUGUACAGUCGCACACUACUCUUUCAAAGAGGUCAAGAAUUAUGUCACUUUAUGACAUUGUUUAAAUUAAUAAAUCAUAAAUGACAAAAGGGUUUUGAUAUGCUUUAGGCAUGGAAGUUAAGGAACGAAGGCAUGCCUUCCACUAUGUCAGUCUCAUCUUUUCAAGGUUCUAUCACUUUACAACAUUAAAUAGCAGUAUUGCCUUAUCAUAUAAAGUAAUAUUUACUUACAUUAAGCACAAAAAAAAAAAAACCUAUAACAACUUUUAGUUUUAUUUUUAAAGGAAAAAUGCAUUCAAUUCAAUUCAUAUAAAAGGGACAUUAGUUCUGAAGGGAAUGAACCCAUCCAUACAAUAUUUUCGCAUCUCUCAAUAGCUAACCUAGCUAAAGAAUGGGCAAUAACAUUACAAGAUUUAUGAGCAUAUUGACUAUUAACAUUAUCAAAGCCCUUCACUAAAUUUUGAAUUUUUGAUAUGACCCAAAAGAUCUUAGUUCCACUGCCCUGCCUGUUGUUCAUACGAUUAACCACCUCUUGAGAGUCUGAUUCAAUAACUAGACAACUUAAUCCUACUUGUCCAGCAAUCUGCAGACCCAAUUCCAUUGCCUCCUCCAUUGCAAAAGCCACAUCUCCAUUAAACUUUGAAGACUUAAUUGCAGCUGCAAUAACAUUGCCAAAUUCAUCUCUAAUGACAGCUCCCAGCUCCCAACCCUGAGAUUUGCUUUUUUGAGUUAGUGGUUGCAUUUACAUUUACCUUACAGUAUCCACUUUUAAAGGGACUCGAUGUUCUUUGAGUCAUACUCUGUUGAUCUCCAGCAGAAGCAAGCAUUGGAACUUAGGUUCUUUUAUAAGCCACAGCAACUGCCUCUACUUUAGCUACCAACACCUACAGAUUUUCGCUUUUUCCUUUAAAAUGAAACUUAUUUCUAGCACUCCAUAUCACCCAAAAAAUAGCCACCAAUAGUUCAGAAUCAACUUUUCUUCUUAAUUUAGAUAUGCUCUGCAAUAAGCUCAACAUGUCUUGUCCAGCAGCUUCUUUAAGUUCAGCUACAAAAGGAGUAGUUUUCCAUAUCUUCUUAUCAGCCUUGCAAGUCACUAAAGCAUGAAAAGCAUUCUCCAAACUAUUUCUACAUGGGCUUCUGAACUAUCUUUCUCUUCUAGAGAUUUUCAGCUAUUGGGAGAUGAUUAUUUGCUGCCCUUCAACAAAAAAUUCUAAUAUUUUCUGGUAAUGCAAGAGUCCAGAUAAUAGUCCAUUAAUUUUUGGCAGUUGAUGAGCAUGUUGGGGUGGCUGGAAAUUUCAUUCUUAAAGCUAUAUGGUAUCCACUCUUGACUGUGCACUGGCCUCUCUUUUCGUAAUGCCAAAGUAAUUGAUCUUUCAUUGGUCUUCUAGGCAAAAAAAAUGCUAACUAUCCUAUCUGAAUCCAUUUUGUCAAAAUGGCUAUAAAUCAAUCCUUCAUUCCACUGGUUUUCAUCAUUAAUCAACUCAGAAACUAGAGUAUCUGUUGGCAAAGUUGGUUUCGAAAUAGGUCUGAGGGUCAGAGGUCUCAAUAGCUAAUUUUCCUUAUAAACCUAGAUAUUAUGCCCAUCUCCAAUCCUCUAGCUUGAGCCAUUUUUAAUAACCUGUCUGCCCCAUAUAAUGCUUCUCUAUAUGAAUGAGGGAUUCGAGCCAAGUUUUGCAUUAAAAAAGCCCUUAUUAUUAAAAUACCUUGCUUGCACGACCCUUGCCACUAAUGAGUCUAGACUUGGAAGAAUUCUCCAACCUUGCUUUCCCACUAAAUCCUAGUUAAAGCUUGAAAAUUCUUUAAAACCCAUGCCUUAUCUACUCUCCGCUUCACUGAGCCUUUCCCAUUUUGACCAGUGGAUGCUUCUCUUAUCACAUUUAUUUUUUGGUAAUGCAAGAGUCCAGAUAAUAUUCCAUUGAUCUUUGGUAGUUGAUGAGCAUGUUGGGGUGGCUGGAAAUUUCAUUCUUAAAGUUAUCUGGUAUCCACUCUUGACUGUGCAUUGGCCUCUCUUCUCGUAAUGCCAAAGUAAUUGAUCUUUCAUUAGUCUUCUAGGCAAAGAAAUGCUAACUAUCCUAUCUGCAUCCAUUUUAUCAAAAUAGCUAUAAAUCAGUCCUUCAUUCCAUUGGUUUUCAUCAUUAAUCAACUCACAAACUAGAGUAUCUGUUGGCAAAGUUGGUUUCGAAAUAGGUCUGAGAGUCAGAGGUCUCAAUAGCUAAUUUUCCUUAUAAACCUAGACAUUAUGCCCAUCUCUAAUCCUCUAUCUUGAGCCAUUUUUAAUAACUUGUCUGCCCCAUCUAAUGCUUCUCCAUAUGAAUGAGGGAUUCGAGCCAAUUUUUGCAUUCAAAAAGUCCUUAUUCUUAAAAUACCUUGCUUGUCGGACCCUUGCCACUAAUGAGUCUAGACUUGGAAGAAUUCUCCAACCUUGCUUUCCUACAAAAGCCUGGUUAAAGGUUGAAAAUUCUUUAAAUCACAUGCCUCAUCUACUCUUCGCUUCACUGAGCCUUUCCCAUUUUGACCAGUGGAUGCUUCUCUUGUCAUCUUUAGUUUCCUACUAAAAUUUAGCAAUUGCUUGCUGGAUGUCAUCAUAGAUACCAUUAAGAAUCUAGAAUACGCUCAUAGCGUAUGCCGGAAUAGCCUGUGCAACUACCUUGAUUAGCACUUCCUUGCCCCUACAUGAGAAGAACUUGUGUUGCCAGUUUGUAAUUUUACUAAGGACCUUUAGCUUAAUGUCAUUGAAGAAGCUACUUCUUUUCCUCCUAACCAUAGAUGGAAGCCCCAAACAUUUUAUACCUUGACACAAUGUUGAGUCGAAAAAUAUUUUUGAUAACUGUGGCUUGUCCAUUCUGAACAUUGCAACUAAAAAACAUGGAAGAUUUUUCAUAAUUAAAAAGUUGUCCAGAGGUCGCAAUAUAGCAAUCAAAAAUUCUUUUCAAGUUUUGACAGUCAGUUGUUGAUGCUCUGGUAAAAACAAGAUUGUCAUUAGCGAAGAGAAGAUGAGAGAUUCUUGUACUAUUUCUAAAGGACAGUCUAUGAAUGAACUUCUGUUGCUCAGCCUGCAACAGUAGAGAAGAAAAACCUCCACACAUAUUAUAAACAAGUAUGGAGAUAGCGAACAUCCUUGUCUUAAUCCCCUUUGAGGUUGGAUUACGCCACUAACCAUGCCAUUUAUAAUUACAAAAAAUGAAAUAAAGCUUAUACACCUCACUAUUAGACUUACCCAAUUAUGAGAAAAGCCUAACUUUAAUAUAGUUUGUUCAAGAAAGCUCCAUUCCAAUCUAUUAUAGGCCUUACCUUUUUCCCUUACUAUGUCUGAUUUUAUGAAGCACUCGUAACCUACAAUAAUAUUAUUGGUGAUCAACCUAUUGGGGAUAAAAGCACUUUGUGUUGGGGAUAUAACUACUUUUAAUUAAUUAGAUACAUUAAGCCUCUUUUGUCUUAAGCACCUUAGUUUACAAGUUAAAAAUCUAAACAUGCAAGAAGAUUGUGACCUAUUUCAUUCAUGCAGAUAGGUGAAUGCAGCAUUAAAGGUUGCUUUUCUCAUAUUUACACACAAAAUUUUGAAAAAAACAUAAUCAAAUUGAGGAACAAAACACGACCUUUUCUUUUUUCUUUUUUAAAACAACUAAUUUAAAUUCAAUAGCAAUUAGUUGACUAAUGUUUUUAGAACUCCCAAGUUGUCAUUCAGUUAAAACUAAUUACUUUUAUUAAAAAUCUCUUAUCAAUAACACAAACAAUAGUGCUGAACACAUUCGGUAAGACGCAAGCAAAUUAAGCAUAUAAUAGAUUUUCUAAACAACAGUAACUAAAAAGCAGAGCUUCAAACUAAAAUUUAAAGUUUGGAAAGUUUUUGUAAAUAAAAAACCGAGUUAAUGACAUAACAUUUGAAUUGCUAACUUAGAAAUUGUCAAAUUCUGCAAGACAGAAACCUCUUGGCUUCCAAAAGUAAUCAAAUUAUGAAAUUACUGUAAAUAGUAGAUAAAACAAUAAUGCAGAAAAUAAUAACAAUGAGACUUGGUAGCUGCUUAAUCAGGUUGAAAACCGUUGCUAAUCACCGACAUUUGCUUUGUUUGUUGUGUUUCUUUAUUUUUGUAAAGGGCAAAAAAUAUAAUAAUAAUAAUAAUCACAAGAAUUUAUAAAUUAUCAUAGCUAUAAACUUGGCAAAGAACCAAUGCUAGAAAUUGUUUUCCAAAAUUGCGAGGGUUGAUAUUAAAGCAAGUUUGAGUUACUUUUUCAUUACUAAAUGCCUUAUAAAUUUUUAAUUUUUAUUCCUUAUUGUCUUCUAUGAUAUUCAAAGUUUGAAUUGCUAUUUUUGAAUAUGUAUAACUAAAGUUAUGAAUUUUUGAAUCAGCAGUCCUCUAUUUGUACGGUCACCGGACAGUUUUGACGUUUUUAUGGAAAAUCAAUUUUUAGAGAUGAUUAUGACCUCUAAUUAAUAUUGUUAAAUUUUGUAUUGAAUGCCAACAUGUUUACAAUAGCUUUUUGUGAUAUUUAUGAUUUUCCAACAUGUUUAUAGCAUGAUAGAAAUCAGCUCCUAUAUGAUGGUCUAGUACAGUUAGUGAAUUGAUGUGCUUAAGUAAGGGUACAUGGUUUAAGUAUUUUUGAGUUUUCCUAUUUAGGUCAUAAUUGAAUGAGAUACUAAUAAGAAUUUUUUCUUGAUAAUUAUAGGCCAAGAGUGAGCUCGUAUGAUUGGCAUUAUUGUUGAUUUCAUUGGAUCGAGGUAAGUGAAUUCAUGCAUAAUGUUUAUUAUAAGUAUAUAUGUAAAUAUUUAUGAAUAGAAUAAUGUUGUUCAAAUGGAUUGGCAAGUUAUGGUUUUGAGGCUAUUUUAAAACUUUUUCUUAAAUUAGUUUUAAAAAUAACUUUAAAAUACUUGUUUUUCUAUAAAAUGUUUUUCUAUAAAAUGUUUUCCUGAAAAAUAUUUGCAAAGUUUUUCCAAUUCAAUGUUUUAUAAGUGUUUUAUUGAAAUAUUAUUGAAUGAUUGAUAUUGAAAAACUGAAAAUUAUUUUUAAGGUUUUGGCUCAUUGUCCGUAAUUACCGUCAUUGAAAUUAUUGAAGAACUAGUUGUAUUGUGCGCACCUAUUGACGAUUAUUGUGGAGUAAAGUACCCUAAUUGAACUAUUGGCCAGGUCACCGCAAGUACAAAUGACAUAUUGAACUAUUGACCAGGUCACCGAGGAUACAAGCGACACUAUGUGGCAUGAGCAAAUUGAACAAAAGAAAGAUUUUAUUGAUAAAAGAUUUCUUACGCGAUUAUGCAACUCCCAUUUUUUUAUUUCCUCUUUUACCCUUGUUAAAUUGGGUAGGAUAUUUAUUAUUGGGUGUUUGUAUGUGAGUAAAACUUAUCAAUUUGUUUUAAAUAAGUUACGUAGGUUAUUAGCUUUUAUUAAAAAAAUUAAUUUUCUUAAAACUCAUGUUUUCUUACUUUCUAUGUUUUAAAAGUAUUUAUUAAUUACCAAAAGUAUUUAAGAUGAAGCCAUCUUUUUAAGAGAAAGUCAUCUUUUAUUUUUCACACCGUUACAAACCCUAGAAAAAAAGAAAAGAAAAGAAAAGAAAGAAACAAAAGUCUUUUGAGAAGGAAAAGAAAUUAUAACUUCUUGGCUUGGUGUUUGCCUUAAGGUAUUAAUUAUUUCUUUGACUUAUAUGAUUUAUUUUUAUUAAUUGUUUGUCUUUAAUUACUUGUAGUAUGAUUUGAGUAAUAUAUGUGUGUUUGUAAUGUUGUGAUGAUAUGAACAGUCUCUGUUCAUUGCUUCAAAUCGUUUUCUUUAUUUAAAAUCAAAUGAAUACAUUUACAACUCAUGAAACUAGACAUCCUAAGCUUUCCAUUAAUAGGUCUUGUGUUGAAAUCCUCUGAGUAUGCAAAUUGUUAUGAUUUUUCGACGUUGAGUUGCUGGUGCUGGAAAUUUCCGAUUUUCAGCAGCAGUUCUCAAUUCUAGAAAAUUUUCUGUAAGGUUACACAUCUUUAAAAAUUAUGGAGAUUUUUGUGUCAACAGCUCUAUGUCUCCUUCAUAUUAAAUUUCGUGAUUUUAUUCAUUAUGGGUAAAUUAUUAAAAAUCAUAACAUGCGGCUGCUGCAGAUCUGGAAACUGUUUUCCAGAAUUGCAGAAGCUGAAAUAAGUAACAGUUUGGGCUAAUUUAUGAAAAUUAUAUCCCAUGUUAGGAUUUUAUAAUAAAUUUUUGGGCAUUCAAAAUACAAGAUAUGAAUUUUUGAAAUUCUGUCUUCAAAUCUGGAAUUUUCUGGACAGGUAAGAUGUUCUCAGAAAUAAAAUGCUUUUAAAAUAAUUUCAGGUGUCCAAAAAUUAUGAAUUUUAAUUAUAUGCUUUUUGAAUGUGUCUUCUGUAAUUAGAAAAAAUAACGGAUUAUUUCGAAUACUAGAGAAUAUUUUAUGAAUUUCCUAAGUGAUAAAGUUCUGUUUUGGCCAAUGCUGGACAGUUUUGUUACUUUGGUGAAAGGUCAAUAUUCUGACUUGAUUUUCACUUGUGCUUAUUUUUGUGAAAUUUUUUAUGCAAUGAUAUGCAUGUUCACAGUACCUCUGUAAAUUUUCAUGGUUUGUUGACAUGUGUAUAGGUUAUUAAAAAUCAACAUGUGCAGGAUACUCAUUUUUAUGUCUAGAAUAUGUAUAAGUAUUAAGCUAGUAUGAGUGCCUAUGAUUUAAGGAUGAUUGAGAUUAUGUUAAAGGUUAGAGAUAAUAUUGAUAAGAAUAUUUUUAUGAUGAUUACAGGACGUGGGUGAGCUUGUUGGUUUGUUCUUGAGGUAUUGAAUUGAUUACAACGGAUCGAGGUAAGCAGAUUCAUGCAUGAUGUACUUUAUAAUAAAUGCAAUUUAUGUUAUAAAAAUUAUGUUUAAAUAAAAAAUUUUACAAAACUGAUUUCUAAAAUAAUUAAAUGAAUUUUUAAAAUAAAAACACUUUUAAAUGAAUUUAUGAAAAGGUAUUUUAAAAUAAGUUUUUCUUAAGAAACUAGUUUUCUUAAACAAAAUGUUUUCUUAAAGAAUUAAAUGAUCAAAGAAAUGUUCUUAAAUGUUUUAGAAGAUUUUAAAUGUUAUUUAUGAAAGGAUGUAAGAUGGAUUCAAAAAUAUUUUGGCUCAUAGUCUGUAGUAAUGUAUGAGAUGCAAAUGUUAUGAUGUUAGGUAAUGUCAUGGCCAGCUUGCUAGUAUGAUGAUGAUCUUGUGCACAAUGAUGUUAUGAACAAUGUAGGGUAUAAUACCCUGAAUGAGGAACAAUGUGGGGUAUAGUACCCUGAAUGAUGAAUGAUGAUGACUACGAGGCAUGAGUUACCAAAUGUUUAUAUUUUAAUUUUUUAUGAAUGUUUUAAUGUUUUUAAUACUUUUACAUGAAUCUAUCCCUUAUGCUAAAUGAAGAUGUUAUUAUAAGAUGUUAUAAAAUGUUUAAUGGUAUAAUGACAAAGGUUUUCAAAUAUUGUGCAUGGAUUUGCUUACCGAGUUCACGGCUCACUCUUUGUCUCUAAUAUUUUGCAGAUUGAUUAGAGAUGUGGCUUGGAUAUCUAGAUGGAGUUUUUUUUUUUUAGUGGACCUUUGGGGUUGCUUUAAAGAUUAAAUUUGGCUAGACUUUUUAUUUUGGGUUAGAGAUUUUUCUUUGGAGACUUUAUGUUAGAUUUUUUUUGGCAAGAAUUCAGUUGGAGUAUGAAUAAUAAUUGUUUUUCUUGAAGUUUAUUAAUAAGAAUAAAUGAUGUGAGAUUUCAUUCCAAUUUUACCCUUGUGCUUUCAUGGGUAAAUUUUUGUGGUGUUACAAAUUAUUUAUUGAAAAUAAUUUUUACGUUAUGACUUAACUGAUUAUGAGUUACGUAUGAUUCUAAAAUUAUUAUUGUUUUCUUGACUUAUAGUACUUCAUAAUAAUGAUUAUAUAAUUUUUCGUGUUAGUAACCUUAUGCAUGAGUUUGCUUAUUGAGUUGACGGCUCACCCAUCAUCUCCAACAUUUUGCAGAUUGAUUUUAGAGAUGUGGGCUUUUGGUCUAGCGAAGAGGAUUUGUUAGAUGAAUUGAUUGUAGCUAUUUUGAUUAUUACUUAGAGCUAGUUUUUAUUUUAGAGGAUUAUUGAUUUAUUUAUUAUUUUGGAGAAUAUGCUUUGUUUAUGGAUAACAUUGACUUUAUUUGGGAUUAGUUAUAAGAUUAAUGUUCUAAGGUUUUAUUCCAAAUUCCUCUUGAGUUUUUGGGUGAACUUGAGGUGUUACAAUCUCAACUUUAAAGUAUCGUGAAAGUAUUUCAAGAAUAUGUUGCAUUUUACACAUGGGGGACCCAACUAAGGCCUGGACGGGUGGAUCAUUUUUUUCACUUUUGAAUGUACCCCAACCCCUUUUUUGAAAAAGACAAUCUAAUAAUUUAGCCACAUUCACAUUCACAUUUAACAUCUCUUGGCUUAGUGGUGAGAGUUGUAUUUUAUGAUUUUGAAGAUCUUCUUUCAAAUCUCUACAACUACAUAAUUUAUUUUUUAAAGAUUUUAUAAUCCGUAAUAAUUGAUGUUUGAGGAAUUAAAUAGAGCGACCAUGAUCUCCUCCAAGUGAAAGUGAGCAAAUGGUUGAGCAGGUCACCUUGACCAGGUGGUAUGAGCUUGAGCAAAUCACCUCGACCAGGUGCUAUGAGCUUGAGCAGAUCACAUCGACCAGGUGCUAUGAGAUGGAGUAGAUCACCUCGACCAGGUACAAUGAGGUUGGGCAGAUCGCCUUGACCAGGUGGUAUGAGCUUGAGCAGAUGACCAUGUGGUAUGAGCUUGAGCAAAUCACCUCGACCAGGUGCUAUGAGCUUGAGCAGAUCACAUCGACCAGGUGCUAUGAGAUGGAGUAGAUCACCUCGACCAGGUACAAUGAGGUUGGGCAGAUCGCCUUGACCAGGUGGUAUGAGCUUGAGCAGAUGACCAUGUGGUAUGAGCUUGAGCAAAUCACCUCGACCAGGUGCUAUGAGCUUGAGCAGAUCACAUCGACCAGGUGCUAUGAGAUAGAGCAGAUCACCUCGACCAAGUGCUAUGAGGUGGAGCAGAUCACCUCGACCAGGUGCUAUGAGGUGGAGCAGAUCACCUCGACCAGGUGCUAUGACGUGGAGCAGAUCACCUCGACCAUGUGCUAUGAGCUUGACCAGAUCACCUCGACCAGGUGGUCUAAACUUGAGCAGAUCACCUCGACCAGGUGAUGACCAGGAAUAAAGACUCAAUUAAAAUAAACCACCACAAAGCUCCUCCGAAAAAUCAGGGCACGAAUUUGAUCAAUUAAUGGUUAUUGGCACGAUCUAAGGUCGUGGGUGUGGGGUGUUUAUAAAAACCCUAAGAAAACCACGCCAGGGGAGCUCUUUUUUUCUCUGGAUCUGACUGAGAAAUUCUUUCGGGAGACUCUACUUUACUUUUCUGCAAAUUAUUCAAAAAGCUUUUGGUUUUAAGGCAAUAUUUAUUAAGCCAUAUGAGAAAUGGCAUAUUUGGUUUUUCCUAUAAACCCCAUAACUGACUUGAACAUCGGAGGGUUUACGCCGGAAAAACUUCUGGCACCUCUUACCAUUCUCUGUAAUUUCAGGUACUUAUUGAUCGUCAGUUUGAAGAUUAUAUGCUCAUGAAUGUUCUGCUCAUAGUCAGAGAAUAUUCUCGGAGAUCGACCAGCAGCUUCCCAUACAAAAAGUCAUAUUGUCUCUACCAAUUUGGAUUUGGCCGAAGCAGAAGUAAUUUGCAAAUUAAAUUGUUGGGAAUGAUUCUUGAUUAAGCACUGCCCAGAGCCCAAUGACAAAAUUCGAGUAUUAAAGGAAUUUGCUCAUUUAAUCGGUAAGUCAUCAGCUUUUCACUUUAAUUCACAUAUUAGCUUGACGAGAACUUGAUUCUCGUCUUCAUUAAAAAAAAAAAAAAUUUGCGGUUUACAAUAUGAAAUUAUGAAAAUCAGUUUAUUUGAUUGCACAAUUUUGGUAAUUGUGACCAUAAAUCCAAUUUAAAAAUAGGAAAUUUUCUUUUAUGGCCUUGCAUGAUUAGAUCACAAAGACCAACUAGUUGAAAAUACCAUUCACGUGGAUUAAGAUCUAGAAUCAAAUAUUCAUUUACUGCAUGCCUCGUUUAUUGCUAAAUAAGUUCUACAUUCUUGAAAUAGAAUAAAUAAUAAGCUCCAGUAAAUAGAACUGAAGUGAAUUUUAACAGAGUUAGGAUUUGAAGUCCAAUGCCUGGCAUGAGAACUUACAGGAAUCAUGUGCUUGCCAUUUGUCUUUAGUUAAUCAUGUGCUUGCCAUCCAAUCGUCAGAACAACAUGCUUACUUUAAUCUCUUGAAAGCAUGUGCUGCUCACUUAUCGUUUUCAGAAUUAUCUGUUUGGCUUUUAUGUUUAAGAAUAUAUCCAUGCCUUUGUUGCUUAAGCUACCUUAGAUUAACUAUUUUUUAUUGUGAAAUUUUUGGGUAAAAUCAUAAGGAAGAUAAUCACAUAAUCAGGACAUGGUGUUAAGCCCACCAAUUAUUUGAUAGAAAGUCUAAACGAAUUAUGUUAUUUUUCUACUCACAAUUUUCAUAAGUUAUAGAUCAUUUAAUUGUUUUAUUAAGCUUAUAAAAUGAUAUACUGAGUAAGCUAAAUCAGAAUCAAGGAAGGCAAAUGGAAGGCAAAGCAUUAAUAAUAAAAAAUAAGUUGGGAAAAAGGCAAAUGAUUGUCCAUUCAGGAACAAAGAAAUUCUUUCUCAGUUUUUUUCAAUUACCAUGAGCGUUCAUCAAACAAGUAUGAAGGUUUUCACAGUGACAAUGAAAGGAAGCUCAGAAGCUGUAGGGGAAGUACAAUCACAACAAUAGAGCAGAACGAAGUUCACAAAAAAAAAAUUUACCAAAGGAAUCAGACAGCUCAUUUUCAUCUGAAGAAUAUGCAGGGAAUUCUGUUAUGCAAUUUCACUACAAAAUGUCAAUUUUGAUACAUUUGCGAAUGAGGCAAGCUAUGCACAUGGAAGGAGACAUUGAUGCAAAAAGUUGCAUCUUAAUCAGGUCAGAAAUUUUAACAAAUUUAUGUCUUGAUGUCUACAUGAAAACAUGCAUUUGCAGCCUUUAUUUGCAGCUAUAGUAUUUACCUACUAGUAAUUUAUCAAAUGAGGAUAGUUUGUACAUGUCAAACUGAUAGAGCUCAUAUUAAAGCUAGUGAUAUAACUCAAUCAACUUGAUAUCUAGAAAGUUGCUCAAUAUGAGAAUGAUUUAUGAAAGGGUGAGCAGGCUAUUUCGUAAAUUUUUUAAGGCAAGCAAGUGCAUAUUCCUGAUCGGUCAUCGAAAAGACCAGCAGGCAGACUACAAAUUUUACUAAGGCAAACAUGUGCUUAUUUCUGCUCGGUCGUCUAAAGGACCAGCAGCUAAAGUCUACUAAAUUUUUUAAGGCAAGCAAGUGCCUAUUCCUGCUCGGUCAUCGAAAAGACCAACAGGCAGACUACAAAUUUUACUAAGGCAAACAUGUGCCUAUUCCUGCUCGGUCGUCUAAAGGAUUAGCAGCUAAAGUCUACUAAAUUUUUUAAGGCAAGCAAGUGUCUGUUCCUGCUCGGUCGUCUAAAUGACCAGCAGCUAAAGUCUAUUAAAUUUGUUAAGGCAAGCAAGUGCCUAUUCCUGCUCGGUCAUCUAAAGGAUCAGCAGCUAAAGUCUACUAAUUUUUUUAAGGCAAGCAAGUGCCUAUUCCUGCUCGGUCAUCGAAAAGACCAACAGGCAGACUACAAAUUUUACUAAGGCAAACAUGUGCCUAUUCCUGCUCGGUCGUCUAAAGGAUCAACAGCUAAAGUCUACUAAAUUUUUUAAGGCAAGCAAGUGCCUAUUCCUGCUCGGUCACCGAAAAGACCAGCAGGCAGACUACAAAUUUUACUAAGGCAAACAUGUGCCUAUUCCUGCUCAGUCGUCUAAAGGACCAACAACUAAAGUCUACUAAAUUUUUUAAGGCAAGCAAGUGCCUAUUCCUGCUCGGUCACCGAAAAGACCAGCAGGCAGACUACAAAUUUUACUAAGGCAAACAUGUGCCUAUUCCUGCUCAGUCGUCUAAAGGACCAACAACUAAAGUCUACUAAAUUUUUUAAGGCAAGCAAGUGCCUAUUCCUGCUCGGUCACCGAAAAGACCAGCAGGCAGACUACAAAUUUUACUAAGGCAAACAUGUGCCUAUUCCUGCUCAGUCGUCUAAAGGACCAACAACUAAAGUCUACUAAAUUUUUUAAGGCAAGCAAGUGCCUAUUCCUGCUCGGUCACCGAAAAGACCAGCAGGCAGACUACAAAUUUUACUAAGGCAAACAUGUGCCUAUUCCUGCUCAGUCGUCUAAAGGACCAACAACUAAAGUCUACUAAAUUUUUUAAGGCAAGCAAGUGCCUAUUCCUGCUCGGUCACCGAAAAGACCAGCAGGCAGACUACAAAUUUUACUAAGGCAAACAUGUGCCUAUUCCUGCUCAGUCGUCUAAAGGACCAACAACUAAAGUCUACUAAAUUUUUUAAGGCAAGCAAGUGCCUAUUCCUGCUCGGUCACCGAAAAGACCAGCAGGCAGACUACAAAUUUUACUAAGGCAAACAUGUGCCUAUUCCUGCUCAGUCGUCUAAAGGACCAACAACUAAAGUCUACUAAAUUUUUUAAGGCAAGCAAGUGCCUAUUCCUGCUCGGUCACCGAAAAGACCAGCAGGCAGACUACAAAUUUUACUAAGGCAAACAUGUGCCUAUUCCUGCUCAGUCGUCUAAAGGACCAACAACUAAAGUCUACUAAAUUUUUUAAGGCAAGCAAGUGCCUAUUCCUGCUCGGUCACCGAAAAGACCAGCAGGCAGACUACAAAUUUUACUAAGGCAAACAUGUGCCUAUUCCUGCUCAGUCGUCUAAAGGACCAACAACUAAAGUCUACUAAAUUUUUUAAGGCAAGCAAGUGCCUAUUCCUGCUCGGUCACCGAAAAGACCAGCAGGCAGACUACAAAUUUUACUAAGGCAAACAUGUGCCUAUUCCUGCUCAGUCGUCUAAAGGACCAACAACUAAAGUCUACUAAAUUUUUUAAGGCAAGCAAGUGCCUAUUCCUGCUCGGUCACCGAAAAGACCAGCAGGCAGACUACAAAUUUUACUAAGGCAAACAUGUGCCUAUUCCUGCUCAGUCGUCUAAAGGACCAACAACUAAAGUCUACUAAAUUUUUUAAGGCAAGCAAGUGCCUAUUCCUGCUCGGUCACCGAAAAGACCAGCAGGCAGACUACAAAUUUUACUAAGGCAAACAUGUGCCUAUUCCUGCUCAGUCGUCUAAAGGACCAACAACUAAAGUCUACUAAAUUUUUUAAGGCAAGCAAGUGCCUAUUCCUGCUCGGUCACCGAAAAGACCAGCAGGCAGACUACAAAUUUUACUAAGGCAAACAUGUGCCUAUUCCUGCUCAGUCGUCUAAAGGACCAACAACUAAAGUCUACUAAAUUUUUUAAGGCAAGCAAGUGCCUAUUCCUGCUCGGUCACCGAAAAGACCAGCAGGCAGACUACAAAUUUUACUAAGGCAAACAUGUGCCUAUUCCUGCUCAGUCGUCUAAAGGACCAACAACUAAAGUCUACUAAAUUUUUUAAGGCAAGCAAGUGCCUAUUCCUGCUCGGUCACCGAAAAGACCAGCAGGCAGACUACAAAUUUUACUAAGGCAAACAUGUGCCUAUUCCUGCUCAGUCGUCUAAAGGACCAACAACUAAAGUCUACUAAAUUUUUUAAGGCAAGCAAGUGCCUAUUCCUGCUCGGUCACCGAAAAGACCAGCAGGCAGACUACAAAUUUUACUAAGGCAAACAUGUGCCUAUUCCUGCUCAGUCGUCUAAAGGACCAACAACUAAAGUCUACUAAAUUUUUUAAGGCAAGCAAGUGCCUAUUCCUGCUCGGUCACCGAAAAGACCAGCAGGCAGACUACAAAUUUUACUAAGGCAAACAUGUGCCUAUUCCUGCUCAGUCGUCUAAAGGACCAACAACUAAAGUCUACUAAAUUUUUUAAGGCAAGCAAGUGCCUAUUCCUGCUCGGUCACCGAAAAGACCAGCAGGCAGACUACAAAUUUUACUAAGGCAAACAUGUGCCUAUUCCUGCUCAGUCGUCUAAAGGACCAACAACUAAAGUCUACUAAAUUUUUUAAGGCAAGCAAGUGCCUAUUCCUGCUCGGUCACCGAAAAGACCAGCAGGCAGACUACAAAUUUUACUAAGGCAAACAUGUGCCUAUUCCUGCUCAGUCGUCUAAAGGACCAACAACUAAAGUCUACUAAAUUUUUUAAGGCAAGCAAGUGCCUAUUCCUGCUCGGUCACCGAAAAGACCAGCAGGCAGACUACAAAUUUUACUAAGGCAAACAUGUGCCUAUUCCUGCUCAGUCGUCUAAAGGACCAACAACUAAAGUCUACUAAAUUUUUUAAGGCAAGCAAGUGCCUAUUCCUGCUCGGUCACCGAAAAGACCAGCAGGCAGACUACAAAUUUUACUAAGGCAAACAUGUGCCUAUUCCUGCUCAGUCGUCUAAAGGACCAACAACUAAAGUCUACUAAAUUUUUUAAGGCAAGCAAGUGCCUAUUCCUGCUCGGUCACCGAAAAGACCAGCAGGCAGACUACAAAUUUUACUAAGGCAAACAUGUGCCUAUUCUCUUAUAUAAAUUUAUUUUGUACAAACUGAUGUGGCAUGAAUAAAUUGGUUAAAUUGAAUAUCUUUUAGCCCACAUAAUCUAUUUUUAUUAUUUUGUAUUUUCAUUCAACCAAUGAAUUAAUUCCAAAUUAAUUUGUACAAGAUAAAUUUACACAAGAAUUUGUGACUGUAUCAUCACUCUAUUAAAAAUAUAAAGGUCAUUUUGUGAACUUAUGUAAAAUUUGUGACACUUGGAUGGUCAAGAAUAGUUCAACUGCCUUCUACUCCGACGUUACUGCUCCCUGUUUGGGAGUAUCAUUUUCACAGGCCUUGCUAAGUUACGUAAAAUAUAUCAUUUGACAGAUCAUUAGGAAAACUUCCGCAACGUGAUACAAAGAUUCCAAUCAAAACUGUCAGUUUUACUCAACUAACCAUACCUAAAAUACGCGCAAAGUCUACGUUGCUAGAAGAAAUGCGGAGAAAUUAUUUUUCUUUAUAUUGACGUUGUCUUCAGUGGGAUCCCACUUAUAAUACCAGGUGUUUAGCUUGCCCAUUUUCAUUACCAUAAUUUUUUCACUUAUUUAUAGAGAUGUUGAAUUUUCAGGUGCAAGUCUCUGUUUAUCAAGGUCCCAUCAUUUUAUAGUAUAUAACUGCGGUCUUGCAUGGGAAUUGGAGCCCAUAGGAUGAGGAGCGGAACAAGCCAACUUCGGCUACAAUGCCAAAGAGUUUAUUAUAGACUUCGAAUUUAAUCACUACUCAAGGCAUAUUUAUUUAAUAUAUUAGAGGGAGCUACAAGCCUAAAUUGUAUAAACCAAUGGAUGCACUCUGGAUUUUGUUAAUCUUUUGUAAGUAACUGUUGAUGCUGAAAUCUGCUCGCCCUUGAACCGGCCAGAUUCUUUCACCAACGUUUGUAUUAUCGACUGUUUGUUCGAACCACUAAGGCUGGUAUCACCCUCUUUUCUCUCACUAGACCUGCGUUCACAAAAAUGGGUCAAAGACGCCGGUGGUUUUGCCGGCGUAAACCCUCUGAUGCCUAAGUUAGCACAAGGUUUUUAUGGGAAAACAAUGUAAUUUGGAUUCAAGAAGUUUGUUAGAAAUUUGUAAGGAAAUGGCCUGGUUGCAAUUUGGCAGCGUUUUCCCUCUUUCAGUUUUUCUAUCCCCUUUUCUUCAUCGAUUUCUUCUUCUUUUAUAGCCGUUGUCCCCACGUUUCCGUUUGCCAUUCAUCCUACCUUUUUCGGGUAGUGGCAGCCCCUCAUGGGACUCUAACUGUUACAUUGUGGGCAAACGUGGAUCUCGCGUGUCCUUCAACGGUUCUGGGAAAAGCGCAACUACCGCGAUUCUGUGGGAACGUGUUCCCGCUUCUCUGGGGAUGAGUGCCGGCUCGGUAUAAACCUCUGGUCGGUAUGUUUCCCUGGUUGUAUUCAUCUCUGGUCGGCUCAUGUUAGCCCAUGUGUUCUGCUCAUAUCACUUUGGCUGAAGCGAUCCGUACCGGGGCGGAAAUAGUAGCAUGGCCGACCUGGUGCUUUUAUGUACUCAACCGGUGAGUGAGCUGGCAUCCCCAUCACUUAAAUGCUUUCAUUUCCCUUGUCGUUUCAAAUCCCUAGACUUAAAUCAUCGUCGUUUUGUUCUAUUCGCUUCUCUGUUGUGAGACAAUGCCUACGAACUUCGUUCACACUCUCCGCGUCUGGGACUUCUGUUUGCGGGCUUUUUUCUCCAUCACAGCAACAUUAUCAGUGCCAGUCUAUUCCAUGUACAGCCUUUAACUUCUUCUUUGGUUGUUGUUGAUUGGGUUCUGUGUUGCCCCUUUUUGUAUUCGUAUACUUGGAUUUGUUUUGGUUUCCUUUUGGGGCUCCGAUAUGUCAAAUCGGAAAAGGAAAUUAAUUGCCGAUGAGAGUGACGAAGAAACGGGGGAUUCAGACCUUAACUUGUCGAUACCCACUGAUUUUUUACGUCCCUCUAGUAGUGUAGGGCCUUCCCAUGGUAGGGAUACCUUUGAGUACCCACGCCCCUUGGCUGUUUCUCCUUCCCCCGAACUAGAGCUUGUAGGGAAUAGAGGUGGACCUGCGUCGGGCUCUGGUGAGAACCACAGCUUUGGUGGGGUUGGGGUCCCUGAAGGAGUUGGUGAUGGUGAGGGGAGCAGUUCUAGACCGAGCGGACCUUCUAAGAAAAGGAAUCUUGGCUAUAGGGUGGAGGUGGAUUCGUACCCUAUUGAUUUCAUAGCUUGUGCCACCACCCCCACUAAUCUAUUUAAGCUUAAGAACCUCUACAACAUUCCCAAUGAGGUUCUCCUGGUAGUUCCUGGAAAAGGUGAUGUCCCUAGUCGGCCUCCGAAAGGGCAUGUGACGAUGCAUUUGGAGAGUUUCAGAUUAGGAGCUCGGCUGCCCCUUCAAUGUUAUUUUGCCAAGAUACUGGGCGGUAUGCACCUGGCCCCAGGUCAGCUACACCCAAAUGGCUGGAGGGUUCUCUCGGCAAUGUUUGUGUUGUGGGAGAGGUGCGGGUCGGAGGAGCCUUCCCUUGUUGAAGUGAAACACUUGUACCAGCUACGGAGUAGCCCGAGGGAAGCGGGCUGGUACUACUUUAUGUCAAGUUCUGCAAAGAGGAAACCGAUCACUGGGUUUCCUUCUUCAUGUAAAAAUUGGAAGAACAAAUUCUUCUUUACCGGGGGGAACUGGUGUCCAGCGGUUCGGUCGCUUGGUGGAGACAUUUAUCUUCCCACACAUUUUGUCACCCCAGGUCGUUCAUUUUUGCCUAUGCUCUUACUCAAAUUGUCACUUAUCGAGUUCUUUAACCUUCUUUGUUAUUUCAGAGUCGUGGGGUUUGAUCGAGGGGCUUGAAGAUCGACCCUUGCUUCAGGUGGAAACUGCUCUGUUGAACGCGUUUACCUGCCAGGACCUCCUGUCACCAACAAGCCUGGUCGUUUCAGGCCUAGUAGACCUAGCCGCUGGAAUGGAUAACACGAUCCUUCCCUGGUUGUAUUCAUCUCUGGUCGGCUCAUGUUAGCCCAUGUGUUCUGCUCAUAUCACUUUGGCUGAAGCGAUCCGUACCGGGGCGGAAAUAGUAGCAUGGCCGACCUGGUGCUUUUAUGUACUCAACACCAGUCCCCCAGUUUCUGGUCUGGCGAGUGAAAUGAGUGAAGAGUAGAAACUGAUGGUCAAAUCUCACCAACCCGGGGAGCUUCUCAUCUGGUCUUCUGUUUGCUGGGGCGGACUUGAGGUACCAUUUUUCUUUUGGGGAGAUUCCGACCUGAGUAUGGGCCUAAAUGAGCAUGCCCAUUGCCUAUCUGGGCUUACGUCUAUCUUGGCCCCUUGUAACGGUUGGUGAUGUGGCACCUCCAGAUUCUUCAUAUUUGAAAUUUGAAACGACGGGCUAUCUUUCCUCGAUAUUUGGUGAGUGAGCUGGCAUCCCCAUCACUUAAAUGCUUUCAUUUCCCCUUUUUCGUUUCAAAUCCCUAGACUUACAUUGUCAUUGUUUUGUUAUCCGUCUCUCCGUGUUAUUCGUCUCUCCGUCGUUAAUCUCCCCCCUUUCUGAACUUUACUCACAUUCCCUACGUUUAGAGUUUCUACUUGCUGGUUUUUUCUCUGUCACGGCAGCGCUAUCAGGGCCAGUUCAUUUCAGGUACUGCUUUUAAUCCCUUCUCUGGUUGUUGUUGAUUGGGUUUCGUGUUGCCCCAUUUUGUAUCCGUAUAUUCGAGUUUUCCUUGUUUUCUUUUGGGAUUCCGAUAUGUCAAACCGGAAAAGAAAGUUAAUUGUUGAUGAGAGUGAUGAAGAAUCAGGGGAUUCAGGCCUCAAUGUAUCAAUACCCACAGAUUUCUUAGGCCCCUCCAGUAGCGUAGGUCCUUCCCCUGGCAGGGGUACCCUUGAGUACCCACGACCCUUGGUUGUCUCUCCCUCCUCCGAACUAGAGCUUGUAGGGAAUAGAGGUGGACCUGCGUCGGGCUCUGGUGAGAACCACAGCUUUAGUGGGGUUGGGAUUCCUGAAGGAGCUGGUGAUGGUGAGGGGAGCAGUUCCGGACCGAGCGGACCUGCUAAGAAAAGGCAUCUUGGCCAUAGGGUUGAGGCUGAUUCCUACCCUAUUGAUUUCAUAGCUUGUGCCACCACCCCCACUGACAUGGUUUCGUGCUACAAGAUUGGGUCCGCGCGCCAUGAGAGGAAGCUCCAGGCUGACAACCAGGAAUUGAAGAAGAAAACUGACUCUGCUGAUUGCUCCAAGGAGAAGCUAGCUGAGCUGAAUAAGCAGAUCACGGAGAUAGAGGAGAAGGUUGCGGUUACUGAAUCCACUUCCUCCAAACUUGAGGGCAAGUUGGGUGACCUGAGAUCUGAUCUUCAGGCUACUCAAACUGAAAGGGAUACUUUGAGGGUCGCCCUUGAGGGGGAAAUAAAAUCCUUGGGUGAGCAGCUGGCUGAGGAGAAAGGCAAAUUCGCUGAUGUGGAUGAUCGGCUGGAUGCCGAGUAUGAUUCUGGGGUUGCCUUCUCCUACAAGUGCAUCAUGUCUGUGCUUAAGACGGAAUAUCCCGAGCUGGACAUGAGCAAGCUGGAGGCCGGAGUGCAGCGGUAUAUGGCAGAGGUCGACCAAGCAGAUAAGGAGCAGGGUGAGCAGGACCAGGUGGAGGCUCCUUUGGAUGGGGUGCAGGAGGGAGAAGCUGGGCAGCGUGUUUUUGAAAUGGGACAGGGGUUCGUGCCUCCUCCCUCCGAUAUUGCUGACCUUCCACCUCCCGAGAUAGCUGACCCUUCACCUGCUGAGGCCGUCGACCUUCCUAAUCCUUAGGUCUAUUUUUGUAUAGACUUUAAAGUUCCAUUAGUCUUGUAAACAAUUAAUCAUUUAUAAAAUUUCUAGCUGCUUUCCAUUGGCUCUCUUGUCUGAUGUUUGCUCAUGGAUUGUUUUCUGCAAAUUAACUUGACCAUUUAUCUAAUCUUGCCUGUUGGUUCUUUGGUGGACCGGGCAGGAAUAAGCAUUUAUUUACCUGAGAAACUUUUGUAGAGUCUACUGUUGGCUUUUCCUUGACCGAGCCGAAGUAGGCACUUACUUGCCUUAGUAAAAUUUUGAGAAAUUAGCUGCUGGUCUUUCGUUGACCGAGCAGAAGCAUGGAGGGUUCUCUCGGCAAUGUUUGUGUUGUGGGAGAGGUGCGGGUCGGAGGAGCCUUCUCUUGUUGAAGUGAAACAUCUGUACCAGCUGCGGAGUAGCCCGAAGGAGGCAGGGUGGUACUAUUUCAUGUCCAGUUCCGCAAAGAGGAAACCGAUCACUGGGUUUCCAUCUUCAUGUAAAAAUUGGAAGAACAAAUUCUUCUUUACCGGGGGGAACUGGUGUCCAGCGGUUCGGUCGCUUGGUGGAGACAUUUAUCUUCCCACACAUUUUGUCACCCCAGGUCGUUCAUUUUUGCCUAUGCUCUUACUCAAAUUGUCACUUAUCGAGUUCUUUAACCUUCUUUGUUAUUUCAGAGUCGUGGGGUUUGAUCGAGGGGCUUGAAGAUCGACCCUUGCUUCAGGUGGAAACUGCUCUGUUGAACGCGUUUACCUGCCAGGACCUCCUGUCACCAACAAGCCUGGUCGUUUCAGGCCUAGUAGACCUAGCCGCUGGAAUGGAUAACACGAUCCUCAGCGCGAUGAGCAGGAAGCGUGGUCGGGCUCCAAGCAGCUCCAGCAACCCCCCUCCUCCUCCAAAGAAAACCAGUGUCGGCCCUUCCAAGGCUCCUGUCCCUGCUCUGCCCCCUCCUCCACCCCGUAAGAGUGGCGGGGAGAAAACUUCUGACAAAAGUCCUAAGGUCAGCUACCCGUCUGGGGACCGAUCUUCCCCUCUACCAUCUCGGGAUCAAGCAGACUACCUGAGCCCGUAUCAGAAGGAUUACAAGAGAUCGGUGGGGCCCAAGAUGGUGAAGGACAUCGAGAGUAUGAACCUCUCCGAGCUAGCUGCUUCUGUUCAGAGAGUGUCCUUCAGGCUGGCCACCAUGGUUUCGUGCUACAAGAUUGGGUCCGCGCGCCAUGAGAGGAAGCUCCAGGCUGACAACCAGGAAUUGAAGAAGAAAACUGACUCUGCUGAUUGCUCCAAGGAGAAGCUAGCUGAGCUGAAUAAGCAGAUCACGGAGAUAGAGGAGAAGGUUGCGGUUACUGAAUCCACUUCCUCCAAACUUGAGGGCAAGUUGGGUGACCUGAGAUCUGAUCUUCAGGCUACUCAAACUGAAAGGGAUACUUUGAGGGUCGCCCUUGAGGGGGAAAUAAAAUCCUUGGGUGAGCAGCUGGCUGAGGAGAAAGGCAAAUUCGCUGAUGUGGAUGAUCGGCUGGAUGCCGAGUAUGAUUCUGGGGUUGCCUUCUCCUACAAGUGCAUCAUGUCUGUGCUUAAGACGGAAUAUCCCGAGCUGGACAUGAGCAAGCUGGAGGCCGGAGUGCAGCGGUAUAUGGCAGAGGUCGACCAAGCAGAUAAGGAGCAGGGUGAGCAGGACCAGGUGGAGGCUCCUUUGGAUGGGGUGCAGGAGGGAGAAGCUGGGCAGCGUGUUUUUGAAAUGGGACAGGGGUUCGUGCCUCCUCCCUCCGAUAUUGCUGACCUUCCACCUCCCGAGAUAGCUGACCCUUCACCUGCUGAGGCCGUCGACCUUCCUAAUCCUUAGGUCUAUUUUUGUAUAGACUUUAAAGUUCCAUUAGUCUUGUAAACAAUUAAUCAUUUAUAAAAUUUCUAGCUGCUUUCCAUUGGCUCUCUUGUCUGAUGUUUGCUCAUGGAUUGUUUUCUGCAAAUUAACUUGACCAUUUAUCUAAUCUUGCCUGUUGGUUCUUUGGUGGACCGGGCAGGAAUAAGCAUUUAUUUACCUGAGAAACUUUUGUAGAGUCUACUGUUGGCUUUUCCUUGACCGAGCCGAAGUAGGCACUUACUUGCCUUAGUAAAAUUUUGAGAAAUUAGCUGCUGGUCUUUCGUUGACCGGGCAGAAACAGGCACUUUAUUGCGUUAGUAAAAUUUUGAGAAAUUAGCUGCUGGUCUUUCGUUGACCGGGCAGAAACAGGCACUUUAUUGCCUUAGUAGUAUUUCGAAACUUUAGCUGCUGGUCUUUCGUGGACCGAGCAGAAACAGGCACUUUGUUGCCUUAGUAGUAUUUCGAAACUUUAGCUUCUGGUCUUUCGUGGACCGAGCAGAAACAGGCACUUUGUUGCCUUAGUAGUAUUUCGAAACUUUAGCUUCUGGUCUUUCGUGGACCGAGCAGAAACAGGCACUUUGUUGCCUUAGUAGUAUUUCGAAACUUUAGCUGCUGGUCUUUCGUGGACCGAGUAGAAACAGGCACUUUGUUGCCUUAGUAGCCGAGCAGAAACAGGCACUUUGUUGCCUUAGUAGAUUUUUCGAAGCUUUAGCUGCUGGUCUUUCGUUGACCCAGCAGAAACAGGCACUUUGUUGCCUUAGUAAAAAAUUUCUUAUUGGGCUCGCUAGCAGGGGAUUUCAUGCUGAAUUCAUCUUUAUUGAAAUUUGAAUGUAUUACAAAAAUAAUGCAUGCAUGUGCAACAGGCCAUCAGGCAUUGUAACAGAAAUAACUUGCCAGAGUGAGGAUUUAAUAGAGCAUUUUGCUUACUGGAAAUACUUCUUCAGGUGUUCGGCGUUCCAUGACCUCUUCACGUCUCGUCCGUCUUGGUACGCUAAUUUAUAUGCUCCUGGUCCAGUGGCUCGUAUCACUCGGUAUGGGCCUUCCCACUUUGGGCCAAGAGCGCCAUGGUUAGGAUCCCUGGUGUUCUGGUUCACCUUCCUAAGUACCCAAUCUCCUGCUCGGAACUGCCUCACGCGUACGUUCUUGUUGUAGUAGCGCAUGACCCUUUGUUGACACUGGGCCACUUUCUGUGAUGCCCCUUCCCUUUUUUCCUCCAGCAGGUCCAGACUUAAGCAGAUCUGCUCGUCAUUUUGCUUCUCAGUAAAAUAUUCUGUCCGAUGUGUCCCCACUCCCACUUCUGCCGGGACUACCGCCUCAUGACCAAAAGCUAAAGCGAACGGGGUUUCCCCUGUGGCGGUUUUGUGAGUUGUCCUGUAGGCCCACAAUACUCCUGGUAGCUCGUCAACCCAAGCUCCCUUCUUCUCUCCCAAUUUAGUCUUCAGGAGCUUUUUUAUCACCUUGUUGGCUGCUUCCACUUGUCCGUUUGCCUAGGGGUGUGCGGGGGUGCAGAACUUCAGGUCCACCCCCAAAUUUCGGCAAAAUUCUCUGAAGUUGCUGUUGUCAAAUUGCCUCCCAUUAUCUGUGAUGAUGGUGUAGGGGAUCCCAUAUCUGCAGAUGAUAUUUUUCCAAAUAAAAUCUGUUGUCUUUCUCUCUGUGAUUUGGCUGAGGACUCCCACUUCCACCCACUUGGUGAAGUAGUCUAUUGCCACAAUUGCAUGUGUCGCCGCUCUUCGUCCCUUAGGCAACGGACCAAUCAAGUCGAUUCCCCAUUGAGCGAAAGGCCACGGGGAUGUCAUAGCCGUCAGCUUUUCCGGGGGUUGUGCAGGAACCUCGGAGAAGCUUUGGCAUGUUUUACAAUUCUUUGCCAUCCUUUUCGCAUCCUGGUGCAUGGUUGGCCAGAAGUAUCCUUGCCGGAGUGCCUUGAAGGCUAAAGUUCUUGCUCCUGAGUGAUUGCCGCAAAUUCCUUCAUGAAUCUCCCUGAGUACAUAAUCUGCCUCCUCAUCAUCCACACAUCGCAAAAGGGGCAAGGUGAACCCUCGGCGGUACAGCACUUCAUCUAGUAGCGUGUACCUCGCUGCUCGGCAUUUUAACUUUCUCGCUUGCCUUUUGUCCUCAGGCAAAACUCCGUCGCGGACAUACGCGCGAAUCGGGUCCAUCCAGGAUUCUCCAGUGCUUACUCUCAUCACCUCCACUUCCUCCCCUAUGCUCGGCGAGGUCCUUAUCUCUAGUGGGACCGACUUAGGUAAUUCCGGGUCUGCAAUUGCAGCCAUCCUAGCCAGCAUAUCCGCUCGAUAAUUCUCAUUCUGGGAUAUCUGCUUUACCUCCACCUCUUGGAAAAGCCCGACCAUUUGCUUCGCCUUCUUCAAAUAAAGGCCCAUCUUCUCUCCCCUUGCUUGGAACUGAUCAUUGAGCUGAUUACAUACCAAUUGGGAAUCUGCUCGGAUUUCUACCCUCUCUACUUUUAAGGCGUGUGCGAGUCCGAGCCCGGUGAUAAAGGCUUCAUAUUCGGCUUGGUUGUUUGUGAGCUGAAAUUCGAACUUCACUGCAUACGUUAUUUCGGAUCCUUCUGGGCUCCGUAUUACAACCCCUGCUCCGGAUCCUUGCUCACUACAUGAUCCGUCAACCAUUACCAACCACAUCCCUUCUGUUUUCUCAUGCUCUAACGGUUGCUCCUCCCGAUCUCCUUCCACUGGUUCAGCUCGGUCUACCAUAAAUUCUACCAGGGCUUGGGCUGAGUUUGCGUGCUGCCGUUAUCAGAGCCAGCGCCCACUUCUCCAUUAGUGGAUAUCUGGUUUCUGCGUCCACCAGGGCCUUGCUCGUGUAGUAUACCGGGUGUUGCUUCCCUUCUUCUUCCCUGAUUAAGACCGAGCUGGUAGCCCGCUUGGAGAUUGUCAAGUACAAAAGCAGCUGGUCACCCUCUCUCGGAGUUGAUAGUAACGGUGCACGGGCCAGAUAUUCCUUCAGCUGCCCAAAUACUUCCUCUCACUCUGACGUCCAUUCCAUCUUUCUCCCUUUCUUUAUGAUUUGGAAGAAAGGGUGGCAUUUAUCUGUGGCUCGCGAGAUGAAUCGGUUCAAUGCUGCCAACUUCCCUGUAAGGCUCUGUACCUCUUUAACUGUCCGUGGAGAUCUCAUAUCUGUAACCGCUCGUAUUUUUUCGGAGUUGGCCUCAAUCCCUCGGUGGCUUACCAGGAAUCCCAGAAAUUUGCCCGAGCUGACCCUAAAGGUAGUGCUUUCCUCAUCCUGCUCGUCCAUGGGUAUCUGGUUGUAUCCAGAAAAGGCAUCCAUGAAACUGAGCAGACUAUGACCUGCUGUUGAGUCCACCAGCUGAUCUAUUUUGGGUAGGGGAAAGCUGUCCUUCGGGCAUGCCUUAUUGAGGUCCGUGAAGUCCACACACAUUCUCCACUUCCCGUUGGCCUUCUUUACCAGGACUACAUUUGAAAUCCAUUCUGGGUACUUGGUUUCCCUUAAAAAUCCUGUGGAAAUCCAAUCCGGGUACUUGGCCUCCCUUAUAAAUCCUGCUUUCAACAGCUUCUCCACCUCGGUGUUUAUGGCCUCGUACCUUUCCUGGUUAAAGCAUCUCCUCUUCUGUCUCACCGGCCUUGCCCCCUUCUUGACUGCCAACUUGUGGCAAGUUACCCCGCGAUCAAUUUCGGGCAUAUCUUCAUGAGACCAGGCGAAUAUAUCUGCAUGAGACUGUAGGUAAUUAUCAGCCUUGGGUCACUUCUGCUUAUAACAAUCUCUUCUAGCUUUUCAACAGGUUCUUGGCGACCCUUUUUAGAAUCUCCUCGAUUAUCCAGAGAAGUAACCUGUAAUGUCUCCUUGGCUGCUGUAGCAUAACAGCUCCUUGCCAUCCUCUGGUCGCCUUUUACAACGCCUACCACUCCAUUUACUCUGUACUUUAGCGCCAAAUAAUGCGUUGAUACAACGCAUUGGCUUAUCCUCAUGAACGGUCUCCCCAAUAUCAUCUGAUAAGGGCUUCUUUCCUCUACUACGAUGAAGUCCAACAUCACCGUUCUUUCAAACGGCUUUGUCCCCACAGUAAUCGGGAGUUCAAUGAUCCCCAAGGGAGUUAAUCGCCCCCUCCAAAUCCUUUUAAGGAUGUAUUCGUCCGCUCCAGCUUUAAAUCUAAAAUCCCCAUAUCAUCUAGGGCUGACUUAAAUAGAAUGUCAAUUGAACUGCCCGUGUCCACCAGUAUUCGCUGCAAUUCUGUGCUAGCCACCAAUGCUUUAAUCACCAGUGCAUCCUCAUGAGGAUACAAAAUACCCUCCUCGUCAUCCUCCGUCCACAUAAUGGGAACUUGCCGUACCUUCGCCUUCUUGGCUGCUGGCAAAUUUAGAAGCACCUCUUUGCCAGUUAUGGCGUAUCUCCCAUAGUUCUUCCGUGCUCUGUUCGAAUCCCCAGCCAAUGUUGGCCCCCCAGCUAUCACAUGGAUGGUCGGCUGUUCACCUCCCAGACCCCUCUGAACUUCUUCAUCCCGUGUAUACUGUGAUUCGAUGAUCGGGGACACCCCCUCUACAUACUCAUCCAAGUACCGGUUCCGUACUAAGUCCUCCACCUGAAUCUUUAGGUCACGACAUUGGUCGAUUGUGUGACCAUGAGUGUCGUGAAACUUGCAGAAUAUGUUCUUAUCCCGUCGAUGAGCCGGUUUUGUUAUAGGGGCUGGAGGGUACAGCAGGCCUCGUCCUUCGAUCCUCUCAUACAGUUCCUCCAUGGAGAUCUUCAAUGGAGUGUACUGUCUAUAUGUCAAGCUCUGGUCUAUCAGUUGAACUGCUCGGCUAUCCUGAAUGUCAUCUCGGGCUGGUAUAGUCGCUAGCUGGUCUGGUCUUCCUGCCUUGGAACCACUUGUAUGUAACGGUCUGGGAGCGUUGUGAUAAGGGCGGGCAGCCAUCUGCCUGAAUUCUCGUUGCCGCUCCGGGAAUGAAGUACGCGGAGGUUGGGCCCGGCUGUGUUGGAACUGUUGCGGUCUCAAAGCUACAGGGUAAGGGCGGGACCGAGCUGAUAUUCCGCUCUUAGCUGAGGAUUCCCCAGCUCGCUUUCCCGAUCCGCUCCCACUCGGGGUUCUCCUUUCCUUUCUUCUCAGCUUCGGGCUUCUUUCCUCUACUACGAUGAAGUCCAACAUCACCGUUCUUUCAAACGGCUUUGUCCCCACAGUAAUCGGGAGUUCAAUGAUCCCCAAGGGAGUUAAUCGCCCCCUCCAAAUCCUUUUAAGGAUGUAUUCGUCCGCUCCAGCUUUAAAUCUAAAAUCCCCAUAUCAUCUAGGGCUGACUUAAAUAGAAUGUCAAUUGAACUGCCCGUGUCCACCAGUAUUCGCUGCAAUUCUGUGCUAGCCACCAAUGCUUUAAUCACCAGUGCAUCCUCAUGAGGAUACAAAAUACCCUCCUCGUCAUCCUCCGUCCACAUAAUGGGAACUUGCCGUACCUUCGCCUUCUUGGCUGCUGGCAAAUUUAGAAGCACCUCUUUGCCAGUUAUGGCGUAUCUCCCAUAGUUCUUCCGUGCUCUGUUCGAAUCCCCAGCCAAUGUUGGCCCCCCAGCUAUCACAUGGAUGGUCGGCUGUUCACCUCCCAGACCCCUCUGAACUUCUUCAUCCCGUGUAUACUGUGAUUCGAUGAUCGGGGACACCCCCUCUACAUACUCAUCCAAGUACCGGUUCCGUACUAAGUCCUCCACCUGAAUCUUUAGGUCACGACAUUGGUCGAUUGUGUGACCAUGAGUGUCGUGAAACUUGCAGAAUAUGUUCUUAUCCCGUCGAUGAGCCGGUUUUGUUAUAGGGGCUGGAGGGUACAGCAGGCCUCGUCCUUCGAUCCUCUCAUACAGUUCCUCCAUGGAGAUCUUCAAUGGAGUGUACUGUCUAUAUGUCAAGCUCUGGUCUAUCAGUUGAACUGCUCGGCUAUCCUGAAUGUCAUCUCGGGCUGGUAUAGUCGCUAGCUGGUCUGGUCUUCCUGCCUUGGAACCACUUGUAUGUAACGGUCUGGGAGCGUUGUGAUAAGGGCGGGCAGCCAUCUGCCUGAAUUCUCGUUGCCGCUCCGGGAAUGAAGUACGCGGAGGUUGGGCCCGGCUGUGUUGGAACUGUUGCGGUCUCAAAGCUACAGGGUAAGGGCGGGACCGAGCUGAUAUUCCGCUCUUAGCUGAGGAUUCCCCAGCUCGCUUUCCCGAUCCGCUCCCACUCGGGGUUCUCCUUUCCUUUCUUCUCAGCUUCUCCAGCUGUUCACUUUUUAUCCUCGCCGACUUUUCCUCUUCGAUUUCAAUGUCUCUCUUUGCCUGCUCAUACCCCGCUGAGUAAUUCUGUACCGAGGGACUUCUCAGGUUAUACCAUAGCCGGCCUAUCCUCACUCCCUCCUUUAAUCCCCUCAACGCCUGCGGGUGAUUGAAGGCCCCCAAAUCAAGCACGGCUCGGUGGUAUCGUUUUAUAAAAUCCCGAAGGGAUUCUUGUUCCUCCUGCUUCAUUCCCAUUAGCUCCAUCAUAUCAUCCUCUGGGGCCACUGCUCCUCGGAACUGUUCGGCCAACUCUUGGCACAUCUGCUCGUACCCUCUGAUACUUCCUCGUGUCAGCUUGCGGUACCAUUCUCGGGCUCGUCCUUCCAGUGUCAAUGGUAACACCCUACAUCUCUGGGCUGGUGUUAACCCUUGCACACCCGUCACGUCGUUGAAACGUUCAAUAUGCACCAGUGGAUCACUUCGCCCGGAGUAUUUGAGGUCGGGGAAGCGGAAAUCUCUUGGGAUUAUGGUACCCAUGAUCACAGCUGAUAAUGGAGAUUCUUCAUCUAGCAUUAUCCUCCAGCUCGGGGGCUUUCUCUUGCCCUGUAUCUCCUCUAUCAAUUGCGCUAAUCUGCGCACUUCUUCCUCCAAUUAUAUGGCACAGUCAAGAUCACGCGCAGCUAUCUGAGCUCGUUCCUGCUCGGCGUUUUGCAACCGUUGUCUGAGCUCUCCUUCAUCAAUACUGGCCCCUUGGCCAUCAAUCUCCGGUACCCGUUCGGGGCGAGGUUGGUCCCUCCCUUCAUCUACUCGUUCUCCUGAAGCCCGACUAGUGCUUCUGUGGGGAUGCACCCCAUCAAAUUGGUCUACCGGCGGAGGGAUUUCCUCAACUCUACGCCUCCGGAAGCUAGGCUCUCCUCCAACAUCAUCUCUCCCCACGGGGGUUUCACAAUCCUUUCUCCGCUCAUCCCUCAUCUCAUACAGUAUGGUCGUGAGAGUCUCCAUUUGUUUCUCCAUCCGUUCCAAUCGGUCUUGCAUCAUCCUCUCCCGGGCUUCGUUUGUAAUUUCCCGGUGAGUGAUUGUCUCCACAGUUUCGUUAUCCUCCCUCAAAGCAUCCUUUCUCGGCACAUCCAUAUCAAUCGUUCGCUGUUUCUCCGGUAAUUACUGAUUCGGUGGUAGCUUUUUAUCCAGAUCCCCACAGACGGCGCCAAAAUGUUGAUGCUGAAAUCUGCUCGCCCUUGGACCGACCAGAUUCUUUCACCAACGUUUGUAUUAUCGACUGUUUGUUCGAACCACUAAGGCUGGUAUCACCCUCCUUUCUCUCACUAGACCUGCGUUCACAAAAAUGGGUCAAAGACGCCGGUGGUUUUGCCGGCGUAAACCCUCCGAUGCCUAAGUUAGCACAAGGUAUUUACGGGAAAACAAUGUAAUUUGGAUUCAAGAAGUUUGUUAGAAAUUUGUAAGGAAAUGGCCUGGUUGCAAUUUGGCAGCGUUUUCCCUCUCUCAGUUUUUCUAUCCCCUUUUCUUCAUCGAUUUCUUCUUCUUUUAUAGCCGCUGUCCCCACGUUUCCGUUUGCCAUUCAUCCCACCUUUUUCGGGUAGUGGCAGCCCCUCAUGGGACUCUAACUGUUACAUUGUGGGCAAACGUGGAUCUCGCGUGUCCUUCAACGGUUCUGGGAAAAGCGCAACUACCGCAAUUCUGUGGGAUCGUGUUCCCGCUUCUCUGGGGAUGAGUGCCGACUCGGUAUAAACCUCUGGUCGGUAUGUUUCCCUGGUUAUAUUCAUCUCUGGUCGGCUCAUGUUAGCCCACGUGUUCUGCUCAUAUCACUUUGGCUGAAGCGAUCCGUGCCGGGGCGGAAAUAGUAGCAUGGCCGACCUGGUGCUUUUAUGUACUCAACAGUUACCGUUUUUCUUGUCUGAAUUCUCAUUUGCACCUGACAUCAUUACUUCAUCUCAGACUCUUAAUGACGGUAGGACCUUAAUUUCAAAAGAUGGAAGCUUCGAGCUUGGUUUCUUCAGCCCUGGUAGUUCCAAGAAUCGUUACGUAGGAAUUUGGUACAAAAAUAUCCCAGUUAAAACAGUGGUUUGGGUUGCGAACCGACUCAACCUGAUCAAUGACUCUUCUGGCUUCCUAAUGAUAAACAAGACAGGCAAUCUUGUAUUAACAAGUAAAAGCAAUAUCGUAGUUUGGUCGGCAUACUUGAGUAAAGAAGUCCGGACUCCAGUUGUAUUGCAGCUACUAGAUUCAGGAAAUCUUGUCCUCAGAGGUGAACAAGAUGGUGAUUCUGAGACUUAUUUCUGGCAGAGCUUUGAUUAUCCUUCUGAUACAUUGCUCCCAGGAAUGAAGCUCGGAUGGGAUUUAGAGACAGGUCUUGAGCGGCGCGUAACAUCAUGGAAGAGCUUUGAUGACCCAUCUCCCGGAGACUUUAUUUGGGCAAUUGAACGACAAGAUAAUCCCGAGGUAGUCAUGUGGAAGGGAUCAAGAAAGUUUUAUAGGACUGGUCCAUGGAAUGGCCUUAGAUUUAGUGCUCCAUCACUAAGGCCCAACCCAGUCUUUAGUUUCAGCUUUGUCUCUAAUGAUGUUGAGCUGUACUACACAUUCAACAUCACAAAUAAAGCAGUUAUCUCAAGGAUUAUCAUGAACCAAACACUCUAUGUACGUCAACGAUUCAUAUGGAAUAAAGCAACUCAAAGUUGGGAACUGUAGUCAGAUGUGCCAAGAGAUCAAUGUGACACUUAUGGCCUUUGUGGCGCCUAUGGCAUUUGCAUCAUUAGCCAGUCGCCUGUUUGCCAAUGUCUAAAAGGUUUUAAACACAAGUCAGGGGGAUAUGUAGACUGGUCUAAAGGGUGUGUGCGUAAUAAGCCGUUAAACUACUCUAGACAAGAUGGCUUUAUGAAAUUUACUGAGCUGAAACUGCCAGAUGCUACUCCUUCUUGGGUGAGCAAAAGUAUGAACCUCAAGGAAAGCAGGGAGGGGUGCUUAGAAAACUCUUUUUGUAUGGCUUACACAAACUCAGAUAUCAGAGGAGGCGGCAGUGGCUGUGCCAUGUGGUUUGGCGAUCUGAUUGACAUGAGAAGCUUUCCAGAUGGUGGGCAGGACUUGUAUAUUCGAAUGUCUGCUUCAGAGCUAGGUAUCCGUUCACUUGUUUAAGUUACUCCAUUAUGAGAACUUAGGAGUGCCACUCCAGUUAGAUUAGUUCCAUAUUUUUAGUCUGUAAUUUAGUAAUGAGUUCAGAUUGAGAUGCUCCUUUCACAUAACGCAGUUUCUGGGUAUAACUUCUAUGCAUAGAAUUCUGCUGCUAUUUGAAUCCUUUUUUCUUAGCUAUAUGAUUAUUGACUUGCUUUGCUAUAUCUGAAUACGCUGAUCAAGGAGCGAAAGGUGAGCCUACGACAAAGAUAGUGGUGAUAGUCACUUCUACUGCUGCCCUGUUAGCUGCGGUGAUUGCAGAUGGCUAUUUGGUUCACAAAAGAAGGAGAAAUAUAGUAGGUAUAAUAUUGCUCCAUUUUCCUUCAAAAAUUUAUAGCCAUUUGUUUGCAUUUUUAUGAUAGCUGUUUCCUUUCAAUCAAUAUUUAUAUGAGUUCGAUUUUGCAGUAUCAAAUCUUCAAUAAAAUCUUUCACCAAGUAGAUUAAGUUUUCGUCUGCAACAAUAACUGUACAUUUGUUUCAAGAUGAAGAGUUAACAAUACAUAUCAUUUAGACCUAGGGCAGGUUAAUUAAACUUGUAAAUUUUUUGCUUGAAUAACAUGUUUACUUGCAUGCAUUUAGUAUUAUAUUAAUACAUGGCUCUUUUCACCUGUCGUUCUUUAUUUACUUACACUUUCAUAUUGACUGGAAAAUGCAUAUUGGAUGAAUGAAAUGGCUAUGAUACUAUUUUCCAAAAAAAAACUUUCUCAUCAAGAACAAGAAAAUGGUAGUUAUUAGUUUAAUAUAGUCCAGUAUAACUUUUCAAUCAACAACAAGCUUGGAGAAGGCGGCUUUGGACCAGUUUACAAGGUAAACUUGAAAGCUGCAAGUCAAGAAUACUUAUUUUACUGGGUAACUAAAUUCACAUAUAUCUUCCCAGGGCACACUGGUGGAUGGACAGGAAAUUGCUGUAAAAAGGCUUUCGAAGAUUUCUGAGCAAGGAUUGAAGGAGUUGAAGAAUGAGGUUAUACUAUUUUCCAAAUUACAGCACCGAAAUCUUGUAAAGCUUCUUGGCUGCUGCAUUCAAGGAGAGGAGAAAUUGUUGAUUUAUGAAUUCAUGGCGAACAGAAGCCUGGACUCUUUCAUUUUUGGUCUGGAUCCCUCUAAAACAUUAAAAUAUUCAGCUAGCUUGUGCCUUGAUUAUAGACGAAUCUUAUAACCUUAACAUGGUAAUUUGUAGAUCAAGAAAGAUGUAAGCUAUUGGAUUGGUCCAAGCGUUUCCGCAUAAUUUGUGGGACUGGUAGGGGUCUUCUCUACCUUCAUCAAGAUUCUAGAUUGAGGAUUAUACAUCGAGAUCUCAAAGCAGGUAAUGUGUUACUCGAUCAGGAUAUGAAUCCAAAAAUUUCAGAUUUUGGCUUGGCCAGAACUUUUGGCGGAGAUGAGACAGAAGGAAACACAACCAGAGUUGUUGGAACAUAGUAAGUAUUUCCAGUCAUGUGAUCUUUACGAUUCACUUGCUUUGAUUAAUGACUUUGAUUAAUGAAAACUAACUUAUACGUUCUACUCCUCUGAAGUGGUUAUAUGGCACCAGAAUACGCUAGUGAUGGGCAAUUCUCAGUAAAAUCCGAUGUCUUCAGCUUUGGAAUAUUAUUGCUGGAGAUAGUAAGUGGAAAAAAAAAUAGAGGAUUUUAUCAUUUGGACAACAAGCUUAAUCUCAUAGGACAUGUAAGCAAAACGCAUAUAUACGACAUUUUCUAUCAUAGUUUAAACCACUAAAUACAUUAUAAGUGACAAAAGAGUUAUGAUAUGUUGUUAGGCAUGGAAGUUGUGGAACAAAGGCAUGCCUUCAGAAAUGAUUGAUCCCUGUUAUCAAGAAUCUUGUAAUCUGACUGAAGUGAUACGAUGCAUUCACAUCAGUCUAUUAUGUGUGCAACAACAUCCUGAUGACAGGCCAUGUAUGCCCUCGGUGAUUUUGAUGCUGGGCAGUGAGAUUGUGCUGCCUCAGCCGAAGCAACCCGGUUUCUUGGCGGAUAGGAAAUCAAUUGGACCAGAUUCUUUGUUAAGCAUUCCCGAAUCAUCUUCAAGUAACUCAAUUACGAUCUCAGAGUUGGAGGCUCGUUAGAGAUCUAUUAGUAACAUGCCAUCUUCUACAUUAUCUCUGAAACUUAAAUGACAUAAUCAGUGAUAUUUCAGCUAAAUGAUUGAAUCAGAAAUGAUGAGGUUUUUGGUUCAAUUAUCCUACGAUGUAGUAUAAGUUGUGGAUCUCAAAUAGAAUGCUUCCUAAUGUUUAUAUAGAAAUUGUAAAUAAGAGGAACUCUUCAUAAUAGCCCUUAGCAUCUUGUUAUUUUUGUCAUGAUUAUUAUUUAAAAAUAGCAAUUCAAGAUAUCAAAAAUAUGAACGUUAUAUUGUUAUCAUUUUGACUUCCUCUCGUUUAAAAUUAAAGAAAGAUACACAAGAUUCCAACCAAAAUUUUGAGUUUCAUUGAACAAUCAUAAACUCUUAUGCAUAAAGUCUACGUUUAAUGGGUGAGAAAUUAUUUUUCUUACUCACAUUGUAAUUAUAAAUGGACCCUAAUUAUAUUUAAAAUCUUUAGGUUUUGUCCUAUUUUCUUCUUUCUUUUUCAAUACCUUAUUUUCUAACCACUGAUUUAGUUACUUUAGGAAUCCGACGGUUUCUGAUUUUCUCAUUUACUUUUAUACGUGUGACGCUGUAAGGAGAACACAAUGCAAUCUCAUGAGAAAAUUUUCAGAUCGCAUGAAAAAUCACACCUGUCAACAAGAUCUUUUUGUUACAUCAUAUUUAUAUAUUAAUAUAGUGUAAAUAAUUUAAACAUGUAACAAACAUAAAUUAAUUUACUAAUGAUAUUAAUUAGAGACUAGGUCAAAAUCUCAUUAAGUCAUUUGAAUUAGAAUAAAAUCUAAUCACAUUUUGAUUAAGUGCAUGUUUGGUAUGGCUUAUUUAAAAGGCAUAAGUGCUUAUUUAAUCGUAUAAGCACUUUUUAAAAUUUUUUAUGGUGUUUGGUUUUUUUUUAAUAGAGUUUUUUUAGCUUAAAUAAGCUAAUUUACCUCUACUAGUAAAAGCCCAAAAUUUGAGCUUUUGGGAGUAGAGACUAUAGAGCUUUUCUAAAAAUAUAUAAUAUAAAAAAUAUCACACAUUUUAAUGGUUCAAAAGUGCUUUUUUUAUUGACAACCAAACACCAAUGACUUUUUAUCCAAAAGCUCUAUUGGUAUAAGCUCUACUGCUAUAAGCUCUACUGUUAUAAGCUCUAUUUAAUAAGCUGUACCAAACGGAGCCUAAAACUUAACCUAAUUGCAUUGGCUUUGCCAAGUAGUAAAACGAUAUCCAUUGUUUAUCUACCCUAUCAACCUGCUUCCGCUACCCCCUUGUAUUAAUUAAUAUCAGAGAGAUCAAAAUCUCAUUGGAUUAAAAUUAGAUCUAAUCAAACUUCAAUUAAAAUGUAACUCAAUUGUAUUUGAUUGGCCCAGAACUAGAAUAAUAUUUAAUGUUUAUCUAUCCUAUAAUUCGCUUCCACUGCCCUGCUGCGUGAAUUACAUAAUGGACAUGUUCUUUUAUGAUUAACUUACCAAACCUGUAUAAUAAAUUAUAUGAUAACUGAUGGUUUCAAAAUCUAAAAUUUAUCAAACACCUUAAGAAAUUGUUUGCUAAGUUGAUUACUUCAGGAGUUAAAUAACGUUAACUAAUGGUGAGCUUAUUUAUGCUCAUUAUUUAAUUUUUAAUUUUUUUAUCUUUUUAACAAUCUAAAUUUUAUUGGGAGUCUAAAUACAUACAUUUAUUGUACACCAUAAAAAUAUGCCUAACUAACAAUUCGCAUAUCCAAAACGGGAUCAAGCUUGGGCGGUUGAAUUUUAAGUCUAAGGGGUCAUCAGUUCUGAGAGUUUGAAGUAAAAUUCAGCCUUUGAAUAACUGUCAAUUUGGUAUGAUUGAGUUUGGGAAACACGUUUAUCUCAAUUGUCUCAAAACUACUAUUUGGUUACUAAAUUGGAUUGAUUAUGGCUUUCUAAACUUUAAAGAAGCUUAAUCUAGUGAUUGAUCAGAGGACUUUUGGUUUCUGUUUUUAAGCCGGGAUGGUCUCAACUGCUGGAAGCAGAACAUGGAGGCACCCAAUUUAGAUGAUACAUACAGCGCAAUGUGCACCUUAAAAAAUCGUCUUUAGCCUAAAAAGUUUGUAAUUGGAGAUGAAUAAUAUAUAGAAAUAUAUACAUUUUUGCCUCAUCAGCAAUCUCAUGUUUCUGCUUCAAUUCACAGAUAUCUCAUAAAGAACACUGUUGUCUGCAAAGAACAACUUUAUGACAGGAAACUUCUUGUGAAAGUAAUGGUAGAAUUUGGUAGCAGCAAGAAAUGCCAACUGCCAAACAUUUGGAGAGCCCUCUGAUGGAAUUGAAGACUGCAGAAUUUUCUGGACUCCACAUCUCUGAAAGUGGCAAAAGGUUACAUGUAACUGAUGGGGCAUUAAGAGUUGAUUGUGCAAAACCCCGUACCCUGCACUCUAGGACAUUGUUGAUGUGUAAUUUACCUGUGAUUGAAGAAAUCUUGGUGAGUGAAAUCAACCUGCGAAACUUUACAGUAAAUACUCUUUGAUUUUAUGCUCUAGGUUUGAAUUUAUAUCUCAACAGCACAUCAUUGCUUCACUACAAACGACAAAAUGGAAGGUCAAAUCCAGCAUAAUUCUCUCAUGCAUCUGAAUAAAAUUCCAAUCCAGACCUAUUUGUAACGCAGCUGGACUGACCUUUAAAAUCCAAGAUCACUAAUAUUGGUUGCCAAGAUUUUAUUAUCACAUCAAAUGGGACAGGUUUAGUCGUGUAGAAUCUUGUCUUCAUAACCUCAUAGAAAUUGAAUUUUCAACUACCAGUCACUGUUGUUCAAGUUUCCACCACUUGCAACACUAAAUAAUUGCGUUCUCGCAAGGGAAUUUGAGUCCAGAAGCAUUGACUUCUAGUUCAAUGCCGUUAAAGAUGGAUCAUUAGUCAUAGUAUUAGCAUCUAUAUAGUUUGUUAGAGAGAGAUCUAAGUUUAUACACGAAUGGGUGUACUUUUAUUUUUGUUCGUCUGUUGUAAUUUACUAUUUUUCUUGCCUGAUUCCUCUUUUGGAUCUGAUACCAUUACUUCAUCUCAGUCUCUUAGUGAUGGUAGGACCUUAGUUUCAAAAGAUGGAAGCUUCGAGCUUGGUUUCUUCAGUCCUGGUAGUUCCAAGAAUCGUUACAUUGGAAUUUGGUACAAAAGCAUCCCAGUUAAAACUGUUGUUUGGGUAGCAAACCGACUCAACCCCAUCAAUGACUCUUCUGGAUUGUUAAUUAUAAACAAGAGGGGCAAUCUUAUUUUAAAAAGCCAGAGCAUGAGGGUAGUUUGGUCAGCAAGCUUGAGCAAAGAAGUGCAGCAGACUCCAGUGGUAUUACAGCUACUAGAUUCAGGAAAUCUUGUCCUCAGAGGUGAACAAGAGGGUGAUUCUGGAACUUAUUUCUGGCAAAGCUUUGAUUAUCCUUCUGAUACAUUGCUUCCAGGAAUGAAGCUCGGAUGGGAUUUAAAGACUGGCUUUGAGCGACGUGUAAUAUCGUGGAAGAGCGCAGACGACCCGUCUCCUGGAGACUUUAUUUGGGCAGUUGAACGACAAGAUAAUCCUGAGGUAGUCAUGUGGAAGGGUUCAAGCAAGUUUUAUACCACUGGCCCGUGGAAUGGCCUUAGCUUCAGUGCCCCAACGACAAGGCCUAACCCAAUUUUUAACUUCAGCUUUGUCGCUAAUGAGGAUGAGCUGUGCUACACAUUCAGCAUCAAAGAUAAAGCAGUUGUCUCAAGGAUUGUCAUGAACCAAACCACCUAUUUAGGUCAAAGAUUCACAUGGAGUAAUAACACUCAAACUUGGGACUUGUAUUCAAAAGCGCCAAGAGAUGAAUGUGACACUUAUGGUCUUUGUGGUGCCUAUGGUGUUUGCAUUAUCAGCAAAUCGCCCGUAUGCCAAUGUUUAAAAGGUUUUAAAACUAAAUCAGGCGGGUACAUGGACUGGCAUGAAGGGUGUGUGCGUAGUAAGGCAUUAAACUACUCUAGACAAGAUGGUUUUAUCAAAUUUACUGAGCUGAAAUUGCCAGAUGCUAAUUUCUCUCGGGUGAGCAAAAGUGUGAAUCUCAAGGAAUGCAGGGAGAAGUGCUUAGAAAACUCUUCAUGUAUGGCGUACACAAAUUCAGAUAUCAGAGGAGGCGGCAGUGGCUGUGCCAUGUGGUUUGGCGAUCUGAUUGACAUGAGAAGCUUUCCAGAUGGUGGGCAGGACUUCUAUAUUCGAAUGUCUGCUUCAGAGCUAGGUAUUUGCUGACCUCUUUAUGUUACUCCAUAAUGAGAAUUUAGAAGUGCCACUCCAGUUAGAUUACAUGUUCCCAUUUUUUUUAUUGUGUGAUUUGUUCACGAGUUCAGAUAUUGAGGUACUCCUAUCUGCUUGAACAGUGAAUUUUUGCUGCAACUUGAGUUUUUUUUUUUUUUUCUUUACCUUUAUGAUUAUUGACGUACUUUACUAUAUCUGAAUAUGCCAAUCAAGGAAUGAAAGGCGAGCCUACGACAAAGAUAGUGGUGCUAGUCAUUUCUGCCGUUGCUCUGUUGGCCGUGGUGCUUAUAUCUGGCUAUUUGAUCCACAAACGAAGGAGAAACAUAGCAGGUAAAAUAACUCCCUUUGCCUUCACAUAUUUAUUGCCAUUUGUUUGAACUUUUACGCAGCAGUUUUCAUUCAACCAAUGGUUCCGAUAGUUUUCUUUGCUUUCUUCAUUAUGAGUUCUUCAAUCAAAUUCUUUACCAAGUAGAUAGUAUUGAAAGAGCAUAUCAAUUAGACGGGGACUGUUAAAUGAAUGAACUUUAAUAAAUUUUGUGGAAAAGAAGAACCUUCGCAUCAAGAACAAGAAAAUGGAAGUUUCCAUUUUAAUUAAGUCCUGUAUCUGGACUGCAUAUGUUUCUUUCGGUUAGUACUGUCCAUUAUUAUUUCUGUGAAAACAGAAACUGAUCAGGAAAACGAAGAUCAAAACAUUGACCUGGAGCUACCACUAUUUGAAUUAGCUACAAUUUCUAAUGCCACCAAUAACUUUUCAAUCAACAACAAGCUUGGAGAAGGUGGCUUUGGACCUGUAUACAAGGUAAACAGAAACUUGCUUGUCAAAAUUACUUAUUUUACCUGGUAAUUAAAUUCACAUGUCUUUCCAGGGCACACUUGUGGAUGGGCAGGAAAUUGCUGUGAAAAGGCUUUCAAAGAUUUCUGAUCAAGGAUUGAAGGAGUUGAAGAAUGAAGUUAUACUAUUCUCCAAAUUACAGCACAGAAAUCUUGUAAAGCUUCUUGGCUGCUGCAUUCACGGAGAGGAGAAAUUGUUGAUUUAUGAAUUCAUGCCGAACAAAAGCCUGGACUACUUCAUAUUUGGUCUGGAUGCCUCUAAAACUUACAAUUUUCAGCUAGCUAGUCCCUUGAUUAUAAACGUUUCUUAUAAUUUAGUGCAGAUUUUUUUUUAUAAAAAAAAAAGAGAGAAUUCAAGCUGAAAAUUGUACUAACCUUUGUUAUGAUACUCUCUAGAUCAAACUAAUAGUAAGCUAUUGGAUUGGUCCAAGCGUUUUCACAUUAUAUGUGGAACUGCUAGGGGGCUUCUCUACCUUCAUCAAGAUUCUAGAUUGAGGAUUAUACAUCGAGAUCUCAAAGCAAGUAAUGUGUUACUUGAUCAUGAUAUGAACCCAAAAAUUUCAGAUUUUGGCUUGGCUAGAACUUGUGGUGGAGACAAGACAGAAGGAAACACAAACAGAGUGGUUGGAACAUAGUAUGUCUUGUUUUUUCAUCUUUAUUAUUCAUUUCCACUGAUUAAUAAAAUUUAACUUUUUCUGAUUCUUUGAAGUGGUUAUAUGGCACCGGAAUAUGCUAGUGAUGGGCUAUUCUCAACAAAAUCCGAUGUCUUCAGCUUUGGCAUUUUGUUGCUAGAGAUAGUAAGUGGAAAAAAAAAUAGAGGAUUUUAUCAUUCAGACCACAGCCUUAACCUUAUUGGACAUGUAAGUAAAAUGCACACUCUUCUUAGAAAAUGAAUCAAGAAUUAUGUCACUUUAAUUUUGACUUAAAUUAGUUUAAACUGAUAAAUCAUAAAUGAUGAAAAAGUUUUGAUAUCUUUUAGGCAUGGAAGUUGUGGAACGAAGGCAUGCCUUUACAACUGAUCGAUGCUUGUUAUCAAGAAUCAUGCAAUCGCGCUGAAGUGAUACGAUGUGUCCACAUUAGCUUAUUGUGUGUGCAACAGCAUCCCGACGACAGGCCAAGCAUGCCAUCAGUGAUCUUGAUGUUGGGCAGUGAGAUUGUAUUGCCUCAGCCAAAGCAACCUGGUUUCUUGGCGAACAAGAAAUCAACAGAACCAGAUUCUUCAUCAAGCAUGCUUGAAUCAUCUUCUACUAACACAAUUACGAUCUCAGAGUUGGAGGGUCGAUAGAGAAGCUAUUAGUGAAACGUCUUAUGAGACACUUUCUGAAACUUAAAGAGUACAUUUUCAGUAAUAUUUCAAACUUGGAAUGAUUUAUUCACAGUUUUAACGCUCUUGUGAAUCUAGUACCAACGAUUAAUUUUACUAGUCGGAUUACAACUUAAUAAUUUUGUUACAACUUAUCUAUCCUGGAGUGGAUCCUAAUCCAUAUUUUUUAGUCUAAUUUAUCUGGAGGAAGAUGAAUAACCUUAUUAAAAGAUGUCAUAUCAAUAAAUAUUAAUAAAUCUUUAAAUUAUUUUGUCUUUCAUUAUGUUAACAAAUUGUUAAAUUUUCUAACUGACAUCCCAUGACGCCGACAUAAUUUGUGAUCAUCAAUUAAAUUUUUUGCAUCUAAUAAUUGGUAACACACUAAUCUUUCAAUGGAUGCUGAUAAAGCCAUUAAGGGGCCAUCAUCACCUUUGAGAGUUCGAAGAAAAUCUCAGCCUUUUUGGGUUUGCAAGACUUGAGUGAUGAUGAUCUCAAGUGUAUGUUGAAAGAAGGUGACUUUGAUUGUGAUAGAGCUCUUAAGCAGAUGGAGUUUUGUGUCUUGAUGCUUAAAUUGAGUCCUGAGGUGAUGAUGCUUCAAGGUUAUUGGUUGAAGAAGCUCUAGAACAAGAGUUCAGUGGUUGUCAUGGAUUUUCGGCCUUUUAUUUAUUUAUUUGUUUGUUCGUUUUAUUGAUGUUUCAAGAUUUUUUUUUAAUGAAAUAAAUUUUCUUAUGCAGAAGGAAAUGAGAAAUAUAGAUAACCAUUUGGAAUAUCUAUUUACUUGUUUUAUGGCAUAUACUAAGAAUGUAGAUAUGAAUUUGGCUUGAUAACUUAGCAACAGCUACAAAAGUUUUUGUCAAUUUGGUCCGAUUGCCAUCCAAUUUAAGAGAGUUGGGGAUCAAGUCUUGCUCAGUUGUCUCAAGACUUUACUAUUUGGUUACCAAAUUUAAUCAAUCAUGGCUCUCCAAACUUUGAAUAGCCUAACGUAGCGAUUGAUCAGAGGACUUGGGUUUCUCGGUUUAAGCCUGGAUGUUCUCAAGUGGUGGAAGCCCAACAUGCGGGCUCCCAAAUUAGAUGAUCUAUCUAUACAGCCCCAUAUGCUUAAAAAAUCAAUCUUUUGCCUAAAAUUUUUUGUAAUUGGUGCCUCAUCAGCAAUCUAUGUUUCUGCUCCAAGUUACUGAUAUCUCAUAGAGAACAUUGUUGUCUGGAAAACUGUGGCAAAAGCUUGACACUGGAGCUGGAGGUGAGUUUUACUUGAGAUACAUUGUCUAAUCAAGCAAUGAGUUGUUGUAAACCUUGAUGACAGGCUAAAGAAAUAUUAAAAUGCAAAAACUUUACCGUAGGAAAGUUCUUGUAAAAGUGACGGUCCCCUCUGGUAGCUAUUAGAAAUUUCAAAUGUCCAAAUCUUUUGAGGGCCCUGUGAUGGAAUCGGCUUCAAGACCUGCUGAAUUUUCUGGAUUCCAAGGGUAUGUUUGGGAUUGCUUUUGGCUUUAAAAUUUUUGGGUUGAUUCAUAAUUUUGGGUUAGAUUUUGUGUAAAGAUAUAUAUAUAUAUAUAUAUUUUGCCCCUGUGACAUCAUCAUGACAUCUGUAUUUGACUAGUCGUUCUAACCAAAAAAAUAAUAAAAAUUAAACUACAACAAAAACACUUUAAUAAUUUAUGUAGUGGUUUGUGUUACUUCAUCAUAGUUGAAGACUUGAAGUAGUGAGAUAAUAAAUAAAUAAAUAAUAGCUCCAAAAAAAAAAAAUUAAAUAAUGUAUUGCGUGUUCAAACCGCCUUCAGUAUAACAUUUGGCCCCAAAACUAAUAAAACUAAUAGAAAUUGUAAAGAAUAAAUAAUAGCAUAACAUUUAGCCCCUACCGUUUGUAGGCUGUUCUGUUGACUGUUUGUUGGCCGAUGAAAAGACAAGGAUACCCCUCGCGCUCAAAUCAAGAACCGAAUUUACUAUUUCGACUGCUGUAAUCUGCUUUAGCGCCAAAGGGUAGAGUACUUGCCAAAUGACAAAACGCCAUUGACAAAACAAUGACAUUACUGAAUCAUUAAAAAAUAAUAAUAAUAAAUUAAAUACAACUCUAUUCCUCUUAUGACCAUAAAUUGUUACAUUUGUAAGCAAAAAAUAAACAAAUAGAUAGAUGAAAAAAAAAAAAAAACACAUUUCCCAUUUCUUUCACUUGCUUCUCAAGCCAUACACACUCUUUCAUCAAUUAAUCACAGCUCAACUUUUAAUUGAAUUUCAAACAUUGGAAUCAAACCAUGGAUUCACAAAGGUCAAAAUAGGGGAGUGUUUGGAAUUGAGAUGAUGUAGCUUCUAAGUUAUAGUUGUUGUGGAAAAAAAACUGUAACUAUAAAACAAAAGUUAGUAAUAUAUAGUAAAUGUGAAUUUUAAAUAAUAAUUUUGAUAAAAUUAUUAAAAAUAUAAUAAAUUUUCCAUUAUACAAGUGAAAAAUCAUAUUAAUAUAGCUCUCAAGCUACUGCUCUAAAGUGUUUGGUUUACAGCAACUAGUGUUUACCAAACACUUUAGAGCUGUAGCUGUCCAACCUCAAUCCCAAACGCACCAUAUAUCAAGCAAAUCAACAACAAUUUUAUGCACCAUGUUGAAAGUUUUCUCAUCUAGGACUGGCAAGCACCAGAAUGGCUGGAUCAUCAACAACAAUUUAUGAGCCACUGUGUCUCGGUUUCACUGAAUUGCUGGAUGAUUAGCUUGGUCUUGAAGCUGAAAUUUUCACCUAGAACUGAGAAAAUAGUUAAAUGAAAUAAUAUGACAUACAAUAAAGUCAACAAAAUAAAAGGACAAAUAAACUUAUUUAGUAAUGUCGCAAUUAUAUUUAUUGCCAUGCUAUCACUUUCAUUGCAGACAUCAUCACCAUAAUACUAGCAGUCUAGCACUAAUAGUCAGAAUAAUAAUAAUAAUAGUAGUAGCACAAUUUUUGAAAUUUCUGUAGAGUAAGAUCUAAAGAUGCCAAAAAUAUCAUAUGAAAAAAAAAAAGGUCCAAGAAUUCAAGGAAAGAAAACUCAUUAACAAAGAACCUAACUUUUUAAUCAUGUUUAAUAAACUAAGUUCUUAUGAUUUUCCAUUAUUAAGACAAUUGGUUUCUGCUUUCUAAUGUUUCAAAGCAUACCAAGAAAUAUUAACAAUUACCAAAUCAGUAAGCAGCACAAUUACUUGAUAAGACUUUUGACUUGUCUAACCCAAAAUUGUACCCAAUUCUACACUCUACUAUGAAGCUUAUGAAGCCGAACUUACUUUGACCAAACAACACUAUUAGCUCAGUUAAAGGAAACCACAACUGAACAAAGAUCAGAUGAAAUAACUAAAUUGAAAAAAGUUCAUAAAACUAAAAAUAACUUAUAUUAGUCUAUUAAAGACAUACAAAACAGGAAGAUAAAUAAACAUAGGUCUAUUUUCUUGACACUGCCAAGUUUUGGUUUCAAAAUCACCAUAUUGCAAUAAUAAAUUGUUGUGAUUCCUAAGAUACAAUAUGUAGCAGCUUAUAUGCUGGCAAUCAUAGUCAAAGAAGAUGGUUGUCAAACGUCCUCGCAAAUCAAGAAGCUAAUAAAGACCAGGUCGCACAACAUUACCAUAUAUCAGUUCUUUGAUAUAAAGAUAUUGAAUGUUAUACACUUCUAAUCCCAAGUCCUGAAACAUAAAACAAAAGUUCACUUCACACAUUCAUAAAGCUAAAGUACUAGAGAAAUGGAGAAUAGGCAUGGAUAUGGGUCAAUAAACUAUUAAGCUAAUUAAUGCACACGACGGCAUCUGUUAGAACUAGUUAAAUAGCCCUUACCAGAGAACUAGCAGAAGCAUCCAAUUUCCUAAAAGGAGAUAACUUACAACAUAAACAUUUUGAUAGGCAGCGAUACACAUAAAAUAGCAUCACUUACCAUUAAGCAAUAUGCUAGUAUUAACUUACGAGAUAACAACUGAUGAUUGAUUCAGUUGCACUUACAUAUGCCUAAAGUUUUAACUUUCAAAUUGAUUGCUGCUUGCUCCUUUAUCUAGAAACAUAUUUGACGGUGAUUAAUCCUGACCUCUACCAUGCCAUUCAAUUUUCAUAUUCUCAUAAUCAUAAAUUCACUUUUAGGAAUAUCAACUCCACUAUUAAGAGCCCAAACUUGAUCAAACAGAACUAUUAGCUCAUAACUUCAUCAAUUGGAUAAAUAAAGUCACAAUAACAAUGCCAGCAGCUGCUUCAACACAUCAUCAACAAACCCAUUUUCAUUUAAUCAACAAAAAUCCCCGACAGCAUUUUCAACACAUCAACAAACCCAUUUUCAUUUUAAUUGAUAAAACAACGCCAGCAGCAGAGCAACUUCAUCAAAACAUCAACAAACCCAUUUUCAUUUUAAUCCACAAACAACACCAGCAACAGAACAUAUUCUUCGACACAUUAACAAACCCAUUUUCAUUUUUAAAUAACAAAACAAAAUAAUGCCCAAUCACUGAUUUCCAACAUGCAAAGAGUUUUUUUUUUUUUUCAAAGACUAACCUUCUACGCUAUUGAGCGACGGUCGCCUCUAGCCCCGACCGCAGGCGGCACUCAGUCGACGCCGUCACCCUUGAUUAUCACCUUACGGUUGAUUUCUUUAUCUUCAAAGCAUUUAGAGGUGGAUAUGUUUUUGUGUUUCGGUUAGAUGAAGGAGAAUUGUUUUUGUGAUGAAUAGAUUUGAUGAAAGAGAAGAAACACUCUCAAAUCUGCUGGAUAUAUUAUGUAGCGAUAGAUGCAUUGGAUAAUAACUUGUAGCCUCAGCAUUUUAUUUUUUAAAAUUUAAUUUUUGGAAUAUAAAUGUGUACUACGAUUCUACGAAUUUACCCUCAUCCAUUAACGAUAAAUGAAACGGUAUACAGACUGUAGGGGAGGAAAGUGAAGAUACAUUGAUAAUUUCUAUCAAGUGGAAAUACGCUAAACCUUAGGGGAUACAACUGCAAAUUACCCUUUUUCAUGGUACCUCAUAAUUAGUGGAAAACAAAACAAAUAUACAAAAACAGAUAAACUUCAAAUCAUUUUCCCGUGAUACUCAAUAAUAUAAUUCAACUGCCUCAAGCUCUGACAUUAACAAUCCUUCAGGAGUAUCAUUUUGAUGCACCUUGCUAAAUUACAUAAAAUAUAUCAUUCAACGAAUCACUAGGAAACCACUUGUUAGUUGUGAUGUAUGUAACCUAACCACACCCCAUUUUAACGUACUUUCGUCUGCAAUGUAAGAUAGAAAGAUUCCAAUAAAAAAUUUGAUUCUUGUCCGAACAUAACUACGAUGUGCACAAAGUCUGUGUUGCUACAAGAACGAUUUUAAUGGAGGACAAAUUAUUUUUCUUACAUUUACAUUAUCUUCGGUGGGACUCCACUUGUAAUCGAAGAUUUUGUUCUGUGUCUCAUUUACCAGGUGUUUAGGUUGCCAUUUUCUGUUUUCUUUCUCAAAAACUUAUUUUCUAACCAUUGAUUUGGUUACCUUAUGAACCGACGGUUUCCCUUUUCUUUAUAUAUAUAUAUAUAGGUUGCUGUCGUGGUCAAAUGAAAGAUCGUGUAAUAUUGCUUUGCCUCCAAGAUUUUAUUAUAAUAAUCCUGUUCAUAUGUUCAUAGAAGUUUCAGGUACAGGUCAUCGUUUUUCAAGGUCCCAUCACUUCACAACAUUGAAUAAUUACUUCUAAAGGAAAUUUGAGCCUAUGCAGGCAGAACAAGCCAACUUCGGCUGCAGGUAUUGGCCUGAAGGUCAGCAUAAACUAAUUUAAAUAAGCCAAGAUAGAUCAUUAAUUAGGGUGUUUAUAUGUAUUUAACUUGUGAGCGAGAUCUAAAUCUAAAUAGUAGAAACCAAUGGAUGCACUUUCGCUCUUGUUAAUCUGUUGCAAGUUACUGCUUAUCUUUUCUGAAUUCUCAUUUGCAUCAGAUGUCCUUACUUCGUCUCAGUCUCUUAGUGAUGGAAACACCUUAAUAUCAAAAGGUGGAAGCUUUGAGCUUGGUUUCUUCAGUCCCGGUAGUUCCAAGAAUCGUUAUGUGGGAAUUUUGUACAAAAGUAUACCAGUUAAAACAGUUGUUUGGGUUGCAAACCGCCUCAAACCCAUCAAGGACUCUUCUGGCUUGUUAAUGAUAAACAGGACAGGCAAUCCUGUUUUAACAAGCCCGAGCAUGGGCAUAGUUUGGUCAGCGAGCUUGAGCAAAGAGGUGAGUUCUCCUCUGGUAUUACAGCUACUGGAUUCAGGAAAUCUUAUCCUCAGAGGUGAACAAGAUGGUGAUUCUGAAAAUUAUUUUUGGCAAAGCUUUGAUUAUCCUUCUGAUACAUUGCUACCAGGAAUGAAGGUCGGAUGGGAUUUAAAGACAGGUCUUGAGCGGCGCUUGACAUCAUGGAAGAGCUCAAAUGACCCGUCUCCUGGAGACCUUAUUUUGAAAAUUGAACGACAAGGAUAUCCCUAUCUAGUGAUGUGGAAGGGAUCAACAAAGUUCUAUAGGACCGGCCCAUGGAAUGGCGUUACAUUCAGUGCUUCAUCACUAAAGCCUAACUCAAUCUUUAACGUCAGCUUUGUAUUUAAUGAGGAUGAGCUCUACUACACAUUCAACCUCAUAGAUAAAGCUGUUUUCUCAAGGACUGUUGUGAACCAAACACUCUCUUUACGUCAACGAUUCGUGUGGAGUAAAGCAACUCAAAGUUGGGAGCUGUAUUCAAAUUUGCCAAGAGAUCAGUGUGACACCUACAAUCUCUGUGGUGCCUACGGCAUUUGCAGCAUUAGCAAAUCGCCUAUUUGCCAAUGUUUAAUAGGUUUCAAACCUAAAUCAGAGGGUUAUGUGGAACGGUCUCAAGGGUGCGUACGUACUAAGCCGUUAAACUACUCUCGACGUGAUGGUUUUGUCAAAUUUAAUGAUCUGAAAUUGCCAGAUUCUACUUCCUCUUGGGUUAGCAAAAGUAUGAAUCUCAAUGAAUGCCGGGAGAAAUGCUUAGACAACUCUUCUUGUAUGGCAUACACAAAUUCAGAUAUCAGAGGAGAAGGCAGUGGCUGUGCCAUGUGGUUUGGUGAUCUGAUUGACAUCAGAUACUUCCAAGAUGGUGGGCAGGACUUGUAUAUUCGAAUGUCUGCUUCAGAGCUAGGUAUCCGUAUACUUCUUUAUGUCAUUCCAUUAUGAGAACUUAGGAGUACCACUCCAGUUAGACUAGUUCCACAUUUUUAUUGUGCAAUUUAGUAUUGAGUUCUGAUUGAGAAGCUCCUUUCGCAUAAAGCAGUUUCUGGGUAUAGCUUCUAUGCAUGGAAUUUUCCUGCUAUUUGAAUCCUUUUUUCUUAGCUAUAUGAUUAUUGACUUGCUUUGCUAUAUCUGAAUACGCUGAUCAAGAAGCGAAAGGUGAGCCUACGACAAAGAUAGUGGUGAUAGUCAUUUCUAGUGCUGCUCUGCUAGCAGUGCUGCUUAUAGCUGGCUACUUGAUUCGCAAACGCAGGAGAAAUAUAGCAGGUAUAAUAGCACUCCAUUUUCCUUCACAAAUUUAUAGCCAUUUGCUUGCAUUUUUAUGAUAGCCGUUUCCUUUCAAUCAAUAUUUAUAUGAGUCCAAUUUUUCUGUAUCAAAUCUUCAAUAAAAUCUUUCACCAAGUAGAAUAAGUUUUUAUAUGCAGCAAUAACUGUACGUUUGUUUCAAGAUGAAGAGUUAACAUUGCAUAUCAUUUAGAUCAGGGGCAAGGUAAUUAAACUUGUAAAUUUUUGGUUGGAAUAGCAGUUUUACAUACUUGCAUUUAGUGUUAUAUUAAUACACGCUUCUUUUUCACCUAUGGUUCUCUAUUUACUUGCACUUUCAUAUUGACUGGAAAAUAGCUUUAAUACAAAUUUACAGAUAAAGAACCUUCUCAUCAGGAAGAUGAAAAUUGUAGUUACUAGUUAGUAGUUUGUCCAGUAUACGUACUGCAUAUGCGCUUUCAGCUAAUAUUGUCCAAUAUUUCAGAGAAAACAGAAAACGAUCAGAUUCAAAACAUAGACCUGGAGCUACCAUUGUUUGAGUUAGCUACAAUUGUUAGUGCCACCAAUAACUUUUCAAUCAACAAGAAGCUUGGACAAGGUGGCUUUGGACCCGUUUACAAGGUAAACUUGAAACUUGCUAGUCAAAAAUACUUAUUUUAAUUGGUAACUAAAUUCACAUAUAUGUCUUGCCAGGGCAAGCUAGUGGAUGGACAGGAAAUUGCUGUGAAGAGGCUUUCGAAGAUUUCUGAGCAAGGAUUGAAGGAGUUGAAGAAUGAGGUUAUACUGUUUUCCAAAUUACAGCACAGAAAUCUCGUAAAGCUUCUUGGCUGCUGCAUUCAAGGAGAGGAGAAAUUGUUGAUUUAUGAAUUCAUGCCGAACAAAAGCCUGGACUCUUUCAUUUUUGGUCUGGAUCCCUCUAAACCUUAAAAUAUUCGGCUAGCUUGUGCCUUGAUUAUAGACGUUUCUUAUGUAUUUUCAGAAAAUUUUGCACUAACCUUAGUGUGGUAAUUUGUAGAUCAAGAAAGAUGUAUGAUAUUGGAUUGGUCCAAGCGUUUCCACAUUAUUUGUGGGACUGCUAGGGGCCUUCUGUACCUUCAUCAAGAUUCUAGAUUGAGGAUUAUACAUCGAGACCUCAAAGCAAGUAAUGUGCUACUCGAUCAAGAUAUGAACCCAAAAAUUUCAGAUUUUGGUUUGGCUAGAGCUUUUGGUGGAGACGAGACAGAAGGAAACACAAACAGAGUGGUUGGAACAUA